rnacentral:lncRNA from 1 species
ACAAUCAUCUCAUUUCACGAAUCAGCGUGUCACUUUGUUGAAAGAAUUCAUCCUUCUGAAGUAUCAUUUCGAAACAUUGCAUCAGAGAAAGCGACUAAAAUGUACAAUGAAGACUAAACGAAAGAGAUAUUAUUGAUAAUUCGCUUUUUCAAUGAUAACAUAGUUUCAGAAUCAGUUGUUUACAUUUACAGUCUUAAUGCUGAUGGAUUUUCUUAACAAGUCAAUUGAAGUGAUAGAAUAAGGUAAGAGUACAACAUCCGUGUUUUCACAAACUUUAUCAAGCAUUGUCUUAACUGGUGCAAUCUGCAUAAAAUAACAUAACAAGAUUGUAAGGAAAGCAGUGAAACAAAUCAAAGGAAAUGAUCAGAUAAAAGGUUGUCUGUACCUUUUUAGGAUCUGCGAAAGAAUUCUCGUCCAUCACAUUGCUAGAUGUUAUUAUAGUUUUUGCUGCCCCAAAGGACUGCAAUGAGUUUUCCAAUCCACCGAUGGAGAUAUUAAGAGUGACUGUGCUGUUACCGAAGUUCACAACCUGCAAAAUUUGUCUUUGACAAAUGAGUCGCGAAUUAACAGAUGGAGACUAAGUUGUGUAUCUGCAAAAUGAAGAGAAGAGCAAUCUUAGUUUGUUUGUCCAUUCUAGUUGUUCACAGAGUAUACUGUAAGUCUUGAAAUGCGUUAAUGCUAAACGUCAAGAAAAACUACUCACCUUCAUUCUUAAAUACUUGUCGUUAUCAGUUUCAUUUCGCCAGGUGAUGGCAGAUGCUAUAAGUGGAUUCGAAGGAUUAGCUUGGAGUGUUGAAUUUAGAAGAGUUGCGCCGUUUGACUCUUUGAAGAGGUGCCGCAUCCAAUAACUAGGAAUUCCAUAGACCUGUGUAUAAGUGAAAACAAUUGCAUUUGGCGGUGUCCACCUAAAUGAACAAGAAUUAUUUUGUAGAGAUGAUUCAGUUUUGAAGAAAAAGAGAACGACAGUAAGAUAUCCGAUUUGAAGAAAAAGGAGAAGAAGAAAUCAAACUUACCCCCAGUCGUUGUUGUUAACGAAUAGGGGUGUCAUUACAAUCACAUCACUGCACAAGGAUAAUUACAGGUUUUCGUCAAGCUAAGAGAUCACACGAUUCACACCACAAAUUUUCCAGCAUACCUGUUCUUUUCUACUCCAAUAAGGAAUCCAGCUUCAGCGAGCGCUGCUAAAAGAUUACCAUUUCCAGCAUCGCCUUUAGUAGCAUACUCCCUAAUAAAAGCCUGUAGGAUCCGUUCCUUCAGCUUCCAACAUAACAAUCACCUUUGUCCAAUUUGAUGCAUUAGCAACUCUGUGGAAACAAUAAAGAAUCAAUGGUAAGAGAGACGCAAAAUUCAUAGAAACAUUGGCGAGAGAAAUAGGAAAACAUAGACAACUGCAGAUAUAGCAAAUGAAACUUACACUACAGUAGUUGUAGCCAGCUUCUUUAGUCCAUUUGAACCUGUUAAGUCAUUUUCCAAUAUUUUCAUAUAAUUUUAUUACUAUCUAAAUGUGUCGUGAAUUAUUUAAUUUACUUACCCUUCUAAAAAAAAUUUGAUAGUGGUAAAGUUCUUUAAGUGAUGAUAUAUUUAUAUCAUUUUAUAAUAGAUUUUUAUGAUUUAUUAAUAGUUUAAGAAAAUAUAGUAAAUUUAGAAAUAUUAAAAUAUUAUUAUUAUAUAUAGAAGUUUUGUUAGAAAUAAUUUUCUAUUAAUUAUGACAUAUUCAAAAUAUUAUAAUUAUUUUAUCAUGAGCUUGUUAAGAAUGAUGCAAGUGUAUUUCACUUCAUAUCUAAAAUGAGAGAUUACAACAACUAUAAAUACACAAGGCUAGACACACAAUGUCAAGAGCACAUCCCUAAGAUCAUGCUUCUACCUACAAUAAUUGACUCUAACCCACAAUCUGAAAAAUGCUACCAGCUACCAUAUCUUGACAUUUAUACAACGUCUUGACAAAUUACUACCUACCUUAUCUUGAAAAAAUACCACCAGAUCUUGACACUCCCCCUCAAGCUGGAACAUACAUGUCAUAUGCUCCGAGCUUGCCGCAAAUGUAUUCAAUCCAAACUCCUCUAAGGGAUUUAGUAAGAAUAUCUGCCAAUUGGUCAUUUGAACCGACGAAGCUGGUGGCAAUGCACCCAGACUCAAUCUUCUUCCUAAUAAAAUGACAAUCCACCUCUAUAUGUUUUGUUCUUUCAUGGAAAACUGGAUUUGAGGCAAUAUGUAGCGCAGCCUGAUUGUCACAUAUAAGCUUCAUUUGAUUGAAUUCAACACAUUUUAACUCUUGGAGAAGUUAUUUCAGCCAAAUAAGCUCACAUGUAGCAAGGGCCAUAGCUCGAUAUUCAGCUUCUGCACUAGAUCUGGCAACAACAUCUUGCUUCUUACUUUUCCAGAAAAUUAAACUGCCUCCAAUCAUGACACAAUACCCAGAAGUGGAGCGUCUAUCAGAUGGAGAACAUGCCCAAUCCGUAUCAGAAUAUCCAACAAUGUCUGUGUGGCCUUUGUCUUCAUAUAACAAUCCUUGUCCUGGAGAUUUUUUGAUGUAUCUAAGGAUGCGAAUCACUGCAUCCCAAUGAUCUUUACAUGGAGCUUGGAGAAACUCACUAACCACACUUACUGCAAAUGAAAUAUCCGGGCGUGUAAUAGUGAUAUAGUUCAAUUUACCGAUCAGUCUUCUAUAUCUACCAGGAUCUUUCAAUGGAUCCCCUGUCUAGGAACGAGUUUGAUGUUUGGAUCUAUAGGAGUGUCACUUGGUUUACAAUUUAACAUGCAUGACUCCUCUAAUAUGUCCAAAGCAUAUUUUCUUUGUGAGAUGGCAAUACUUGUUUUGGAUUGUGCUACCUCAAUUCCCAAAAAAUACUUUAACUUCCCCCAAUUUUUGUUUUGAAAGUAACUGAACAAAUGUUGUUUUAGCUGAGAUAUUCCUUCUGGAUCAUUUCCAGUUAUGACAAUGUCGUCAACAUAAACGACCAGAAAAAUGUUCUUUGCUGGACCAUUAUGUCGAUAGAAAACAGAGUGAUCUGCUUUACUUUGAGACAUCCCGAACUGCGGGACAAUGGAACUAAAUCUGCCAAACCAUGCUCUCGGAGAUUGCUUGAGGCCAUAUAAAGAGCGUUUGAGAUGGCAAACUAAGUCUGACUCCCCCUAAGCAACGAAUCCAGGAGGUUGUUCCAUAUAAACUUCCUCAGCAAGUUCGACAUGCAAAAAGGCAUUCUUAAUGUCUAGUUGAUGAAGCGGCCAAUGAUGAAUUGCUGCCAAGGAUAGCAGUCAGACAGAUGCAAUUUUGGCAACUGAAGAAAACGUGUCACCAUAGUCAAGACCAUAAAUCUGGGUGUAUCCUUUGGCAACAAGGCGAGCUUUCAGCCGAUCAACUGUUCCAUCUGAACCCACCUUUACUAUGUAGAUCCAUCAACUUCUAACAGUAGAUUUCCCCUUCGGUAAGAAGACCAAUUCCCAGGUGUUAUUGGUUUGUAAAGCAUUCAUUUAUUCAAUCAUAGCAUCUCUCCACCCGGGAUGUUGUAAUGCUUCGUUAACAUCCUUUGGUAUAGGUACAUUAGAUAGGGUAGAUACAAAGGUAUAAUACAAUGGGAACAACCGAUGAUAACUUAAAUAGUUAUAUCUCUCUGGUUGUUUAUUUCGAGUAGUGUGUAUACCUUUGCGUAUGGUGAUUGGUGGGGUCACUGCAUCUGAUGAAGGUAUGACUGGAGCAGGUGAGGAAGGAGCAUGAGAUGAGUCAUCAGGAGCUACCAGUGCAUCUGGAAUAAAAGUAGUACUAUCAUUAGUAUUGUUAAGAGGAUGAGCACGUCGGAUGUAUACUUGAAGAGGACGGGAAGGGGCGGUUUGGGGGUUGUCUAGAAGACUUAUUUGUUGUAGAGGUAGUAUGGGUACUGGCAAAACGUGAGGCAUUAAGCUUCUGCUUGUAGUGCUUGGUGUAAAAUAAGAGAUGUUUCAAAACUUGUCACAUUUGCAUUGAUAAAAUAUUUAUUUGAUUUUGGAUCAUAGCACUUGUAACCUUUUUGGUGACGAGAGUAUCCUAGAAAGACACACUUAAUUUAUUUCGGUUGGAGUUUGUCAUUUCUAGUAUUUUGAUCAUGGAUAAAGCAUGUACAUCCAAACACUCUCAAAGGUAGAUGAUAAGAAUUUUGACCAGGAAAGAGAACUGAGUAAGGACUUUGUUGUUGUAACACAGUGGAGGGCAUUCUAUUUAUCAAACAACAAGCAGUGAGAACAGCAUCCCCCAAAAAUGAAGAGGAACGUGAUUGUGUAUGAGUAAAGUUUGAGCUGUCUCAAUGAGAUGUCUAUUUUUACGUUCGGCGACACCAUUUUGUUGAGGAGUAUAUGCACAAGAAGUCUGAUGAGUGAUUCCCUUAGAUGACAUGAACCUGGCAAAGGGUGAAGAUAAGUACUCCUUUGUAUUAUCACUGCGUAAUACCUUAAUUGAAACACCAAAUUGAUUGUUUAUUUCAGCAUAGAAUUUUUGAAAAAUAGGGAAUACUUCAGAACGAUUUUUCAUUAAAAAUACCCAUGUGCAAUGAGAAAAAUCAUCAAUAAAGGUAACGAAAUACUGAAAUCCUAAACUUGAAACAACAUGACUAGGACCCCAUAUAUCUGAGUGAACAAUGUCAAACAUAUAUGUGGCCCUAUUAUUGACUCUUUUGGGAAACGAAGUGAGACUAUGUUUCCCAAGUUGACAAGACUUACAUUAAUUAAUUUUUGAAGCUUUGCUAGACUCGGGAAACCAAAACGGUUGUGGAGAAGAUCAGUUGAGGCUGCAGAAGUGAAGGCAACUGGUGGUGGUAAUUUUGACAUGUGAUACAGUCCAUGUGACUCAUAUCCCGUUCCAAUUGUCUUCCCCGUUCUCCGGUCCUGUACAACAACAGAUUCAGCCAAAAAAGUGACACUACAGUUCAGUUGUUUGGUUAAUUUGCUAACAGAAAUCAAAUUAAAUGGACAUUCAGGAUCAAAUAAAACAGAGUUUAAGGAAAUAGAGGGAAGAAGUUGCACAUUCCCUAUUCUUUUUACUGCAGUUCGGGAUCCAUUAGCAAGGUAACCGCGGUGAGAGUUGUGGAAUGAAUAAGAUUUGAGAAAAGAUUCUGAUUACCAGAGAUAUGGUCAGAUGCACCAGAUUCCAAUAUCCAUUGGCAGGAGGGUGAAGAUCUGGUAAGACAAGCAAUGGAAUCGUCUUUCUCUGCCAUUAUGGCUUUGACAGCAAAAUGAAAUACCAAGAAAAAGGUUGGUUAAAAGAACUCGAAUAAGGGAAGGAGAAGAUCAAGGCUUCUCUUGAUGACUGCAGAUCUGGUAGAAUUUAUUUUGUUUUUCAGAUCAGUACUGAACCAGAAUUUUGCAGGAAAAAAAUUUUACAAAGUCAGAGCCCAAGUCAGAGAAACCUUCUAAGAAAAGAAGAAGGAAGACAAACUCUUCAAUAAACUCAGCAGAAUCUGGUCACCAAGCUCUUGAAGAAAGUGGUAAAGAAGGUGAGAAACUUCAAGAUCAUCAGAAUGAUCAAAAUAAAGAUGACCAAAGAUCAGUCUCUGAAGAUCCAGCGGUUGAGCAGUGCAACUCGUUGGAGAAGGAAUUUAAAGCUGAAAGUGACUUGGAAGCUAAGCAGGUGAAUGCCAGAAGUGGCUGCUCUUAAAGUGGCUCCGAUACCAUGUAAGAAUCGGUAUUGGGCCUAACUCACACCCCAAAAGCUAGCUCAAGAGGAGGAGGAUUGCCCAAGCCUUAUAAAGGAGCCCAAGGACCCUUUACCCGCCGAUGUGGGACUCCAACACCCCCGCACGCCCAGGACUGGACAUCUAGAACGUGGACAAUAUGAUGGGGGGCGCCCAACAUCAGGAUGAAUGGGUGGGCCUGACUUUGAUACCAUGUUAAGAAUGAUGCAAGUGUAUUUUACUUCAUAUCUAAAAUGAUAGAUUACAUCAACUAUAAAUACACAAUACACACAAGGUCAAGAGCACAUCCCUAAGAUCAUGCUUCUACCUACAAUAAUUGACUCUAACCCACAAUCUGAAAAAUGCUACCAGCUACCAUAUCUUGACAUUUAUACAAUGUCUUGACAAAUUACUACCUACCAGACAAAAUACCACCAGAUCUUGACAGAGCUUAUAAAAUAUCUGAUUAUAUAUAACAGAGUAAUUAAAAGUUAUUAUAUGAUACCUUCACUUCCAUGUGGACGUGAAGGAGUCGCUAUGCUUUGUGGCCACUAACUUUUAUAUAUAUAUAUAUCUAUAAUCUAUAUUUGUAUCUAUAUUUAUAAUAUAUUAAAAGUGUGAAGACCCUUAGAAAAGUGAUUUGAAUUUUUUAUCCUUCAUUUAAAGUCCUUCCUUUAGACAAAAUAGUCUUUUCAAUAUUUUACUCAAAUUAUUAAUUUAUUAUAUUUAAAAUUAGAGAAUCAUGAUAAGAGAAAACAACAAGGAAAAAGACAAGCCUAAAAGAAAAGUCUAUUUCAUUACUUAAAUUAAAAAAAAGGAAAAUAAAAUUCUAUUUAAAAAGUAACAAACGUUAUUUUAAGGAAAAACAAAUUUUACUUGGAAAAGGUAAUAAACGUUGUUUAAAAGGAAAAAAAACACUCUCGAAUAAGGUUUGAUAAUGAAGAUUUAUUUUUUUAAUAUUUAAGAAAAGAAAAAUAGAAGAUUCAAUUGUAUUGUGCAUUUGUUUCAAAUUUUCGGUGAGUACAUUCUUCAUAUUUAUUAUAGAUUCAAUUCUUUGAUUUUUAGUUACGGAUUUACUUUAUUUUUUAUUAGAGAUUUCAAUUUGAUUUUUAUAUUAUUACUUAUUUAAUUUGUUUAAUACGUGGUGUAUUUUUUCUUUCUUUCACCAUUUAAAUUUGGUGUAGUUAUGUCUGUGCUUUACUUUGUUGGAACACACAUGGAUAAGCCUUGGUUGGUACUUCAACUUUGUGUUUCUAUAGACUGCAAAAACAAUUAUUUCAUGUGUUUGAUUAAUUAUUCUAGUAUCUUAAUUAUUGUAGUUUAUAUUUUGUGGUAACUGGUAUUUUUCUCCUUAAGACAGUUUGAAAUUUCAAUUAUCGUACUGUUUUGUUGUGGUUUACAGGAUGACUGAUGAAUGUUCGGUCAUACUUUGAAGAAUUUUGUGAAAAGGUUAUGUUUAAUCAUAUUAUUUUGUUGUAGUUUUGAUCUAUUACUAUCUGUUAUUUUUAUUAUUAUCUGUUAAGUUAUAGUUCAUGUCAUAGGAGACAAGAGGAUUGGAAAGACUCGAGCAUCCUAAGAACUAGACAUAAGGAAGAGGACCAAUCGACGGACCGCAAAAACUAAAAAAACAAGAAGCUUGAAAAGUUUUAUGUGUUCUUAAGUAGUUAUAGUAAGAGUACAAUAUUAACUGAAAUUUUGUGGAAACUUCGCCCACAUAGAUCUCAAAUUAAAUAGGAAUCAAUAACAUAUUAUAGUUUAUACAUUAUUGUAAAAGCAUCUCUUUGCUAUUUGUUGAAUGAUGGUAGUAUUUAAUGAGUCACCAAUAUUUUAUAGGAGAAAUUACACAAAUUUCAUAUUUAAGACACCAUAUUACAUAAUAUCCCUUAAUGUUUUAAAAAUUACAUAAAAUUCUGGAUUUAUAUUUACUAGUGAUACAUAUGCUAUAUGUAUCACUACUGUUUAUAUAUGUAUAUACUAGUGAUACAUAUACAUAUGUAUCACUAGUCCAUAUGUAUCACUGCUUAACAUAUGUAUCACAAUUCGAAAUUCCAGGAUAAGAUGUAAUUAGCAAACUAUCCGGAAUUUUAUGUAAUAUUGCUGAAACUAUCCGGGAUUUAUGUAAGUUACUCUAUUUUAUAUGAGGCCAAUCUCUUCAUUGUAACUUUAAGAUAUAGCAAGCUCUUUAGAGUUGAAUCAUGUAUAUAGGUCCAAAGACUAAUUCGAGACUUAUUAUGAUAGCAUAAAUUUGCAGAAUUGUUUUGAUUAGUCUAUGAAGUUUAAGUUGCAAUGGUAUCUAAGGUUAGCACUAAUAAUUCUUUUUAGGUUCAUUAUUCGGUAUUUAUUCAGCUAUAGUUAGCUUUUACGUGUAUAAGAAGGUGAAGUAGAUAGUUGUUGUUGGUGUUUGAGGUUACUGAUGUCAACUUAUUAUCUUUUAUCUUGUCUAUGCCAAUUAAAAACCUAGGAAGAGCUCAUGGUGGUUUGGUGAUGGAGAGGAGAUCCAAUGUUCAUUGAACGAGGAGUAGAUUCUGUGUUUUUCAAGAAAAUAUUCUAAUCAAAUCAAAAUUAGAAAAUGAUUUGGGCUUGAAUAAACCACCAAAAGAAUCUGGCAGGAGAUUUUUGGGGAACAAAUAUUCUUGUGAUUUGGUAUAAGUUUUCUAAAAUUUUAAUGUAUUCUUAAAAUUCGCAACAAUAAUAAAUUAUUACUUAAAAUUGAUAGAAUUUGAUUAGAUUCUAGGUCAAGACUAUUGCAGAGUCUUAAACAAUAACAAAAAAUCUGCCUAUGCAAGGAGAAAAAGUAAAAGUAAACAAUUUAAUUAGAGUUUUCAUUAAUAUUUUGUCUUCAAUAUAUUUGAUAUAUAAUUUUAUUUAUUUGUUACUUAAGUUUAAACAGUUGGCUGGAAAGAAUCGAGUCUCAACAAAUAAAAAUUUACUUAAUUUCUACCCAAAAUUACAUUUUUAUCUUAGUACAUUAAAUUAUUUGCAUAUGAAGGAAAGAUUUAAUUCUAAAGGACAAAAAAUGAUCAGUCAUGUAUUUUAAUCUUCUUAGUGUGUUUAGACAAGUUAAUCCGAUGCGAACUGAUUGUAUUAUAAAAACACUAUUUUUAAUUCAUCCGCUUUAUAACUUCAAAAACUUAAAUAAGUUAAAAAAACUAUAAUUACUAUGUAUAUUAAAAGCUUAAAAAAUUUAGACUUACAUAUACUCUUUACGAAAACAAUUAACCUUUCUCUUUCAAAUUAUAUCAUUCUAUGUAAUUAUCUAUUUAAGUCAUAACUUUGCUAGAGAACGCAUUAGAAGUGUAUAUAUAUUAGAAUAAUACUAAAUAUGAUGUAUUUGUAAUGCUAAAAUUAGUAAUGUUAUGAUUAGUUAUAUGUGAUUAGUUAUGUUGAGAUUAUUUCUUAUUCACUGAUAAUUCUACACUUAACCAUGUUUAUUUCUAAUCUGUAAUCUCUAAUAUAUAAUCCAUAUUCAUACUAUAUUAAAAGUGUGAAGGGUUUUAGAAAUAUUAUUUGAUUUUUUUACCCUUUAUUAAAAGUUUCCAGUUUAAACAAAAUCGUUUCUCACUAUUUUCCUAAUAUUUAAGAGUUGAAAAUUAAUUAAAUAUUUAUAGUAAAACCUUUUCUUAUUAGAUAAUUCAUUGGUUUAAGAAUUCUAAAUAAACUAAAGUUGAUUUUAAGAAGAUUUGAAAAAUCUAGAAAUAAACAUAAAAGUUUUAGAAUAAGAAAAAUAUAAGAAAAUAGCAAGUUUUAAAAGUUUUAAGUAAGUAAUCAAAGAUUUUCUAAAAAUUUAACUUUAAAAAUAAGAAAAGAUUUUAAACAUAGAAAAAAAUAAUAUUCCCACUACGUACAAUAUGGUUCAAAUCCAUGUAUCUCUCUUAGCCUCUAACAGAAAGGAGAAGUGCUGCACAAAAAAAGCAAAAGUGAUGAUUCAUUAACUACUUGAAACUUCUGAUGAUAGUUAAAUAGUUAAAAGUGAUGAUACUUAAAAUUGUCUAUUUUAAAUAGUUAAAAGUUACACGUGUGAGACACGUGCAAUUAAACUUGUUUGUGUGUGUGUGUGUGUGUAUAUAUAUAUAUAUAUAUAUAUAGGAUAGUAUUGGAAGAACAUAAUAAAAUACUCUUGAUUUCAUCAAAAGAGACAACUAAAUUGAAACAAAUAUUUUUAGAAAGAGAACCGAGAGAAUUGAACGAAAGGUAUCUUUUUAAGUCUUGAAUGAAGGAUUGGUGACAUUGACCAACUUAAAGGGUCAAACAUCAUUAGGAAAUUUGAUUAAGUUAAUUGUGGAUUUCAUUAAUAUUUUCAAAACUUUCUAAUCUUUUCAAAACUACAAAUCAACCCACACCCCUCUUUAAUCCAAAUCAACCAUUCCUUCUCCCCCCUCUCUCUCAAUAACUUCUCUUAACUCUCUCCCAACCAACAGUUCUGCAAAAUUUCUCCCUUCAACCUUAGCGACAAAUAGUCGGGCGAGUUCCUUUUUGACUUUCAACCGUCAAUCGACGUGAAGACUUCUCCGGUGACAACAACUUUGAGUUCUUCGUCGUCCCAUUUCCUUUUUCAUAGGUAAAAAAUUAUGAAGAAACAGAGGAUCUUGAGCCAACUACUCUUCUAGUAUUGAAAUAUGGACUGAAUAUAACCCUAAUUUCUGGCAUUUCUUCUUCUUGUUGUCGUACUGUUGAUUCAAAUUUGUUGGUUAUUUUUUGUCACAGUUGAUGUUCUUAAUGUGUGUGUGUGUGAUGUAUUGGUGUUGCUGGGUUGAUGUGUUAUAUGUCUUGGAAAAAAUGGUGUUGCAACAGAUGAAAUAUCUGAUGUAACAGAUGAACAUAUGAUGUGACAGAUGAAUACAUCCGAUUCAACAGAUGGAAACAUCUGAUGCAACUAUGAACAAUCUAACAGAUCAUUCAUCUGUUUCAACAAACAACUCUUCUGUUUGGAAGAAAUCUAAACAGUAUUGAUUCAACAGAUAACUCAUUUUAUAACAGAUUAGUGAUCUAUUUAUAUUCUUUCCAACGAAAAUUACCCAUUCGUUGCAACAGAUCGGUUAUAAGUUCUCAUCCGUUGCAACAGGUCGGUUAUAUAUUACAACAGAUAACAUACCUGGUGCAACAAAUUAGUGAUCUAUUUUUAUUAUUUCCAACGGUUUACUCAUCCGUUGCAAUAGGUCGGUUAUAUAUUGCAACAGAUAACAUACUUGGUACAACAGACUAGUGUUCUAUUUUUAUGAUUACCAACGGAUUACUCAUCCGUUGCAACGGGUGGGUUAUAUAUUGCAUCAGAUAAAAUAUCUGAUGCAACAGAUUAGUGAUCUGUUUUUAUGGUUUUCAACGGAUUACUCAGCCGUUGCAAGGGGUCGGUUAUAUGUUGCAUCAGAUAAAAUACCUGGUGCAACAGAUUAGUGAUUUGUUUUUAUAGAUUUCACGGAUUACUCAUCCGUUGCAAUAGGUCGGUUAUAUGUUGCAAUAAAUAACAUACCUGGUGCAACAGAUUAGUGGUCUGUUGGAACUGUAAAUUACUGUUAUGCAUUAAUCAAUUAUAUCUAGGUUAUGUUCCUGUUAAUUUAAGAUAAUAUGGCUCCCAAAAGAAAAGAAAUCAAAUCAAGUCCAAGUAAAGGAACAAGUGCAGAAGCUUGGCUACAUCCACCACUCUAUGAGCUUGCUUUGCAAGCGUUAUCUCAAUCAGGAGUAGAAGAUAAUGAACAAAGGGAGGAGGAAUCUUUUAAAAGAGAUGAUCCAAACGCUAAUAGCCCUUCCGUCGAAGAGUUGGUCAAAACCUUCAGCAUUGAUCGUUAUCCUGUGAGAAUGCAGUGCGAUGGUGUCACAGAUUUAAUGGAUGAUCUCGUGGUUAAGUCAGUCAUGGAAAAAUCUUUCGACGCCUUCAAAAAAAUACUUCAAGAACAAAAAUUGGAUUCUUAUUUCAGGGAAAGCUUCUUUGGGCAAUAUCUUAAUUUAUCGGAGGACAACAAUGCUCGUUUCAAGAUAAAAAUGGUAUAUGAUCUUCUUAAGCGCAGGUUUACAUAUGAAAAUAAAGAUAAGAUGGAUGAGGUGUGGAUAAUUAUUGCGGCAUGCCUGUUUGUUUUAGUUGGAAGGAGUUUGCCAUAGUUACCGGACUAAAAUGCUAUCCUCCUUCUCCUUCUCAAGUUAUACCUACUCUGACCCAAAAAAAACACCCCGCACACCCAAAAAAGGCAAUGGCAAGUCGAGUGAUCAUGAUGAUUUGGUGUCCAUUGUUGGUCCAAGCUUAAAAAACAAAUAUCUGAUAGAAGCGUUGAAAGGUAAAGUACUUUCAAAAAAGCACAAGCAAUCAUUGUGCUUGGUUUGGUUUGUACAUAAUGUUCUUUGGGCGAGAGACGUUAACAACAAUAUAAGCCUCGAUUUAAUAAAUCUCUCUGAGGAUCUUGAGGUAUUUAACAACUAUCCUUGGGGUUAUGAAAGCUUCAAAAUGACUGUAAAAUAUUUGUUGACUCCGUUAACGCCAAAAACAGUCAACUUAUAUGCCUUUCCAUGGGCCUUCAUGGUAAAUAUUUUUUUUAUCUUGAUAUGAUUCAUCAUUUUUUUAUUCAACAAUGCUUUUGAUUUAUUGGCGUUAUGUUAUAGGCUUGAGCAUUUGAAGUCAUUCCUUAUUUGAGACAACAAGUGAACUACCAAGAAGAAGUUUUCUGUCUAAGAAUCCUGAGACGGUUGUUGGCCAAAACCGAUAAAAAUGCAAAAUUUCUUGAUCUUUUCAAUCCCUCCAAGGAAGCAGUAAGUCCAAUUCUAAUCAAGUUUUUGUUUUAAUUAGUGAUUAAAUGAUUUCAUUAUCAUUCUUAAUAUAUGUACCUAUUUAUUUUAGAUUGUUCAUCCGUGGCUUGUUUCGACCAACCGAGGGUUGAAGAUAUCAUUUUUUCUUAUUUUAUGGUCUGUACAACUUUAUCGAGCCCUGAGGUCGUUGAUGGAAUAAAAAUAAAAUUGUUUGAAGCAACAACCAUCACAAGAAAAAUAAUUUUGGAGGGUGGGCUUGUUGUUGUUGACGAUAGUAGUCGUAGUGGUGCUGUUGUUGGUUCUAAUGAUGCUCCUCUUACAAUUUUUUAAACAACAAGCCAUUAUGAUAAUUAUCAUAAUGGUUGUACAGAUUUUUCACCAGAUUUUACCACAUAUAUCGAAAGUUCUGCAUGAAAAUGUCAAGACUGCAAGGCGAAACACGAUGAAGUGAUUAAUGUUAUUAAUGCACUAACUGCUCCUAUAAAGGAAAUGACAUCUAAGAGGGGUGUCAUUCCAUUAAAGAAAAUUUCAUAUCCAAACACUCCACUAGAGAUCAAGGUGCCUAAGAGGAGAAGGAAAUACACUUCCAAGGCAUCAUCAACAUAAAAAAAACAAGAUUUCAACCCCUCUGUCUUUGUUUUGCACCGAUGUUCAGUGUGCAAGGGCCAUAGGAGAGCAGCAUGAGCUGAAGAAGGUGAAUGUACAUCAUCUAUUCCAACAAACAAACAGGAACAUAUCUGUUUCAAUGGAUGAUACAUCUGCUGAAAAUUAUCAGACAGAUAUAUACAUCUGUUGUAAUUGUUAUCUAACCUAUUGCAUCAGAUUCGUUAUCUGUUUCAACAACUGAGUCUUAUGUUGCAACAAAUGGGUCAUCUAUUCAAAAUUAUCGUACUGCUCUAAUUUACCUGUUAGAAUUUAUCCCAAUAAAUAAUCCAUCUGAUGCAGCAUAAGACUCAUCUGUUGCUACAGAUGGAUAAUCUGUUGUAUAUCUCCAAUAAGCAUUGACAAUUUUGGCUUUUUAGGUGGAUGCCACAGUAGAAGCUACUGCUGAAGAGCAUAAUAUCACAGUUGAUAAUCCAUCAACUGCUUUCAAAGAAGAAGAAAAAGUGGAGCCUGUCAGUUUGGGAGAACGAAAGAAUUACCCGUUUGAAGGGUUCAACAUCUCGGACGAGGCUCCAAAAUAACUAACACAGUUGAUCAAUGACUAUUCAUAAUGGAUUACCGAUGGUCUGUUAAAGCAUCAUGUCGGCAGGUACAUAAAUCAAUUUUAUAGGUAUUAGUUUAUAUAAUUCUUGUUGUAAGAACCUGACAUUACCAUAUAUAAAUCAUCAUGUAGAAAAGAAAAUGACGAGCGCUAUAAAGUGAACGAAUCAAGUCUUGGUUUUGAUAUGUUCGACUUUGUUGUUGCUCAUCCCGAGACGAAGAAUUGGUUCUAUUUGAUGUCAUAGCUCAAAACUUGUUGGAAUGAUGAGGUUUAAAUACCAUACAUACUACUAUAAUUAAUACUUUAUUUAAUUACAUCUAGAUUUUUUCGUCACGUAAUCCAAAAUAUUUUAUAAUAUGUGCAGCGCAUCGAUGUCAUUUUUUACUACCUCCGAAAGAAGGCCAAGUUGCAAAUACAAGAACAACACAGAUACACGACAUGCAAUUGUUUGUAUAAAGUUUACAUCAAUAAUGCCUACUAUAGGUAUUGUCAAUAGCAACCUGAAAUUUCCCUAAAUGAGGAAUGCUUAAUCAAAAUCAUCAAAGGUUUUAGCAUUUUGGCUAGCUUACCUUGGUAUUUGGUCGACGAAGUAUACAUCCCAAUCAAUUGUGGUGAUGAAUUUCAUUGGGUGUUGGCUGUCGUCAUUCUAAAAGAGAGGUGCAUCCGAGUUUAUGACUCGAUAUCAUGGAACGCUUCGAUUUUUUGAACCGGAAUGCUACACGGUGCUCAUGACCCCGAAGGACCACAAGCUAACCCAUGACUGAUAUCUGUACUUGUAUACUGCAUAGUAUCUCAUAAAAAUACAGAAAACAUGAACUGAAAGUCCAUAAGGUUUAAUCCGAACAUAAUCUGAUAAACCAACAUCUAAAAUGGUGUAUAUCAAUACCCAAAAUAAAACUGAGGUAACUAUCUGAACAUGCUAGUUUGAAAGCCUCUAAACUGACUGUCUGGAUAAGGAGUUGAUGGGACAUGUCCCCAACUAACUCCGUCUAACAAAACUGAACUGAAAUAAUAAAUAAAAUAAAAGCAUAUCAUCCUCGAAUGAAGAGAACUCACUGCAACUCUGAGUACUGGAAUGUCACUGCUACUGCUGAUCUAGAAAUGAGACUCGUGUCUCUGAACCUAUGGCGUAACAUAAAAAGAAAACACCAUAGCGCAAAUGCGUCAGUACGUUGGAAUGUACUGAGUAUGCAUGAAAGGUAGGCUAAUGCAUGGGGUUUAUAUGCAUGAACUAUACCGACUGACUGACAUGAACGUGAGAAUACAUACAUGCAUACAUAAAUGUAACUGAAUAACGUGAUAGGACUAAAUACUGAGUUCUUACUGCUGAGUCUACUGAUAACUUGGAUUUACUGAUAUCUGAGUUUACUACUAAUGGAAUACAGAUCAACGGUAUUACUGAUAAGAUGACAACUGAGUUUACUGAGAUGGAUAUUUGAAUGAUUGUUUUUUAUAGUUCUGAUUAUGAAGAACUAAUCUGAUAGAAUGUAUAUGCCAGCCUAGUUAGAAAGAAUUUAUCUAAUUGACUGUAUCUGACAACCGUGAAUAUGAAGAACUGAUAUAUUUGACCGUAUCUGACAAUCAUAAAUAUGAAUACUGAUAAUAUGAGUUUCAUAAAACUGAUAUACUGAUGAUAAAUGACUGUAUCUGAUAGUCUAAGUUUUAUGUAACUAGCUGAGUUUCGUAUUGCUGGGUGACUGUAACUGACAGUCCUAAGUCUGAAGAACUAUCUGAGUUCUAUUACUGAAACUGAGAGUGAGACUAAAACUGAGACUGUGGGAGGUAAUCAUCUAACCGACAUGCCCUGUAACUGAACUGGUGGGGUCCAACCCGUAACCCCAGCUAAAGGGUGUCAAUACCAUACCACGGGUAAAGACAACAUGUGAGUAAACCCUAUUCAGUUUGGGAACUCUUUUCAUCUGCCUUUGCUACUAGGUGAACUCAAAUGAGAUACAUUGGCCCUAUAUGUAGGGACAUCUCAACCUACGCUGGCUACGUAGUUAUGGAACACAAGGAUUGCUACUAAGGAUCGUACCCUCUGACUUAGGUGUCUCCCCAUCCUUGGGUUCACUCGGUGCUGAUACUACUCCCAACUAAAUAGACACUAAACUGAUUUAACUGAACUAGACUAGACUGAGUUUAUGGAGUUUCGUUGAUUGACGGAAUACAUUUGAGAACUGAUAAUUGACUGAGAUUACCGAGAUUACGAAUAUCACGGGUUUGUUGAGAUUACUGAAUUUAAAGUACUGAAUUACUGAGAUGACUAAAUUACUGAGAUUACUAAGGUUACUGAGUACUGCAUAGGACUAGACUAAUACUGAUUUUACAUAAGCUUUUCGGAGUCAUGAGAUUGACUGAAGUCUACAGAACAUGGCUUGACUGAGAGUAUCGUGAUAACAUGAUAUGGCUCUAGUCACACAACUAUAUUUUCUAGGUACAAGUACCCCCAGGACUCGAUGGAAGGAAACUGACACACAUGACUGACUUGAUCAUAAGAGUAGACUCCACAAUUUACAAUAUCAUAAGUAGGGGAUUUCCUACUACGCAUGGUUCUCAACAUCUUAUAGAUGGAAGGGAAUUGCAUACAACAUGUAUAUACUUGCAUAGCUUCAAUAUCAUACAUCAUUACAUACCACAAUCACAAUACAUAACAAUGACGUAGAAUUCGUGUGAAAUCAUAAAGCAUAGAGCAUGUACUUGUCAUUUAAACACUAGUUGAAUCAUGAAACAUGAAUCCUAUAUUCUAGGCAUUUUAUCAAACACCUUACAUGCACCACUUUGGGCAUAGGUUUAUUCAUGAAUUCAACAACCCUAACCACCCAAAGUUCAUAUACUUCAACUAACAUGCCAUCAUAGUUUCAUACAAACCCAAAAAUAUUCUAUCUUGGCAUCAUUCAACACAUAAACAUGAUCAACAAUCAAAUCAAAACACAAUAAUAAUGGCAUAUAGAUUAAAAUAGGGUUCUUGAACUUCAUGGAUGAAAGGAGUCCAUGAAUGAACACACGCAUACCUUAGUUUGAGAAUUCGUGAAAAAUUAAUGGUGAAACUUGCUUGAAUCUUGAAUCUCCUAUGAAAACCCUUAUGGUAUUCUUGAGAGGAUUUUAAGCAAAAAGAGUAUAAUUUGGUCUAAUGGGAGCUAAAUCCCGUGUUUGUGACAUAUAUGGAGAUGGGAGAAUGACCAAAAUAACCUCCAUGACAUAAAAGUUGAAUGCUGAAAACUGGGCACGCAUCGGAGUUGCAGGGCGGCGCCUUGCUAUUCCCCCGCUCUAAGCUGGGCGACGCCCCCUUAUCGUAGAGAGCUACUAUUUUGCAUAUCCAAAGUCGCCCUUAUGCUAUCCGAAAAAUUUCAAAAGUUUGCCGAGAUGUACUUGACUUCCCUGAUCACAACGCAACUUGAAAAUCCAAAAACAGAGGUCGAAAAGGUCGUCAAAUAAAUCCCCAAAGUUUGGAGGCUAAAAUAAGACUAAGUGUUGGAACACUUAUCAAAAUUUUCUAAGUGUUGAAGCUUUUAAAGAGCUUUAAGAGCUAAACGAGCUGAAUUUAGACGCAAGAAUUUAUGGGGUCUUACAUGUCGCGAAGGAGACGUUCUGGGCCGUCAUUCGAGAUACAAAAGCUGGCCAAAAUAUUGCCUACUUACCUUGAUAUGAGUGACUUUUUGGACCAAAAGAUUCGUACUGAUUGGUCGACGAUUAAAGCAUACUAGGAUAAAAUGGCUAAUCCAUUUGAUGUACAAUAUGUUGAAGGAAUUGCUCAACAAACCAUUGGUAGCCUUUAAGUUUAAGUGUCGUGAUUUAGUUUCAUUUCAAAAAUUUCACAACGCUUGCAUGAACUACAACAUAUGGAUUAUCUAUUUUUUUAUAACGCAGGGAUUGCGGUCCUUUUGUUGCCGCCUACGCCGAGUAUUUGAGCGAUGGAUUACAAGUACCAAAUGAUGGACUUGAUGCCGGAUUACUCCGCAAAAUAAAUGAUGCUCUUUUAUGGAAAUACGGAGAAGCAAAAGCUCAGAAGUCGUACACAAGCGACAUUAAAAAUCCACGAUGACCAAAGUCGAAUUCCGUAGAACUGGAUGAAGAACAACUUGUCCUUAUUGAUUAAAUCUUAUAGCUUCAAUCCGUCAAUGUAAUAUCCUAUCCUCCUUGGUUUAACUUGUUGAUUUAUGUGUAUAGUAGAUCGUUUGUACCCAUAAUAAUUUUUUUAUAUUUCAUUUAUUUGUUGAGUUAUUUCAUGUAAUUUUCGAAGGCUACGAUUUAUUUUAUGUUGUCUAUGAAUAUAAUUUAAUCCUUAGUUUUGAACAUGUUAAUUGAAAUGGAGUACUAUAUUCAAAUAUCACAACAGAUAAUACACUGCUGCAAUAGAUGACAUAUCUUAUCAUACAGAUUUAGACAUAUAUUGCAACAUGAGAUGCAACACGUAGGUCAUCUGCUGAAAAUUAUAUAUUAUAUAACAGGUAUUCUUACUUUUUUUAUUUGCUCCAACAGAUUAGUGAUCAGUUGCAACAGACAGACUGGAAACAUCUGCAUAUCGCAAAAGAUGACCAACCUAUUACAACAGAUAAUCAAUCUGUUACAACAGGUACUAUAUCUGUUACAACAGAUAUAAAAUCUGUUGAAUUAUAAAAGUUCAACUUGGCCAGACAUAAAAAUUAUUACCACUACAUGUAAAGUGAAUUGGCUUGAAAUGAAAAAUUAUUAUCGUGUUCAUCUCUGUUUUUGUAUAUAUUCUUCUUUAUACAUGGUCUCCAAACAUUUAGUUAGGUCAUCUGCUGGAAAUUAUAUAGCAGGUCUUCCUACUUUUUUUAUUUGCUCCAACAGAUUAGCGAUCAGUUUCAACAAAUAGAUUAUAUGUUGCAACAGAUCAUAUAUCUGUUGCGAUAGACAGACUGGGAACAUCUGCAUAAUGCAACAUAUAACCAUCCUAUUCCAAUAGAUAAUCAAUCUGUCACAACAGGUACUAUAUCUGUUACGACAGAUAUAAAUCAGUUGCAUUAUAAAAAUUCAAUUUGGCCAGACAUAAAAAUUAUUGCCACUAGAAAUAAAAAUUUGUUAUCGUGUUCAUCUCUGUAUUUGUACAUGUUCUUCUUUAUAUACGGGCUCCAACCAUUUAGUUAAUACCCCAUAUGCCCAGACACAGUGCAUCUUUCCCACAACUUCGUCACACAUACCGGUCAUUUGUGUGCCGGUCAGCAAACACUCGAUGUAUGCAAGUGAGUACGGCCCGCACGCUGCACCGAUUGUAUUUCUUGGGAGCUGGAUGUUAUUAUUUCGACCUUCAAAAUCCCAUGAUUCCUUCGUCAAGACUUCAGCCGGUAAAUGAUCCAUCAGCUUACUCUGCUUCAACAAAUUGAGCAACAACUUCAAGAGUGGCUGCAUGUCGGCUAAAAUCUUAUCCUUGCUGAAGAUAGGUAAGUUGCAGUCAUAAACCUUAAUCUUUUCUUCAUAUAGUAAUAUCUCAACAAUGAGAAAAUGUGCGACAUCCACGUUCAUGACUGCAAGGAUUCUCUUUGCCUUAUUUCAACUCUUGUCGUGUGUAUAUGACCUCUUCCCUCUAACAUAUUUAAUCAUUUCUUCAUCCCAUUGGAACUUAGAAACUAAAACUUAGAAACUAACUCAUCAAAUCCUGAGCCACCGGUAAAAGCAUCCUUACAAAGAGAAGCGUACCUAUCCUUGAAAUUGUUGUAGAAGUUGAGCUUCAUUAUCCUAUCAGCAGUAUCAUAAGCAUCUGGGUAAGCUAAUUGCCUUCCCCUCAUGAGGCAGAGAAUUUCAUCAACAUACUGGAGAGUGGUAUAAGAAGACAAUUUUUAAAUAGUUUAGUAAUUGUAAAGAAUAAAAACACGGGGGAAAGAAUCCAAUAUAGAGGGUUCUCUGAAUCAGUUCACAAAUUACCUAACCAACGCAACUUAUGCAACAGAUGUGCAUUAUCAUGCAAUAGAAUACCAAGCUGUUGCAACAGAUUACACACCUACUGCGUAGAUUCAUCUUCCUAGAGUAGAUUCUAAGCUAGAUUAGCAAAAGUAAAUUUACAUUGUCCUCGUACCGCACGUGCAUAUUUGUCAUAUUCUUAAAGUCUUUGGCGGCAAAUGAAUGCAUAGUAUAUUCUGUUUGAACCUUCAUCUUCAUGAAUUUUUCCAGUUCCUUCUUCUUCUUCUUGCCAAGCGCCGCGAAUAUGUCCACCUUCUUUAACGGCCUCUGAAAUUCAACAACUCUUAGAGCGAGACGAGUUGUAAUUUUUGCUGAUUUCAGAACGGAGAGAAUUUGUCUAAUUUUUCUUCUCUUCCUCCUAACCGCCACUUUAGGAGUGCAUGGCUCCCUCACCUCGUUGGAUGGUAUGACACCCUUCCCGGAUUUCAACUCCUCGACAGCUUUAGCAAUAGCCUCUAGCUUUUUAAGGAGUUUAGCCUCUUCGUCCUUGCACACUUUGCAUUUGCAUUGACAAUAUGAGGGUGAGGAAGGGUGAGAGGGACCACUGUAAAGGUGGGAGAAAUCGGUGUAGGGGUGAGAGUGAGGACCUGUGCAAGGGGAGUUUUCAAAAGUAUUUAUUUUUUGCUGAGCACCAACAUGCUCAUAAUCAUGACUGGCAGCAGCAUCAGGAUGGCUGCCACCAUUACAAACAACUCCACCAGCAAGACCCACAGAAGAAGCACACAGAUCUGUUGCAGUUUGAGGUUGGUUGUGAAGAGCUUCAACAUUAGGUUGACCUUGCCUAACUGCUCUUCUUAUGGAUGUUUCUCCAGCCAAUUUCUUCUUUAUUAUAUUCACUGUUGGGUCUUCUUUUGUAUCAACAGCACCUAGAGUAAAAGAAGGUAUCAACAACACCCAGAGUAAAAGAAGUUAUCCCCAGCUCAUCAAUGGUAGGCACGAUCCAAGGAUGCACAACCAAUAAAAAAAGAUAGGAGGCAUUUAAAUCAAAUAAAAAUAAUUUGCAGUCAAUUGGGUUACAUGGAUGUUAACACAGCCAACUUAUGCAACAAAUGAUCUAGCUACCGCAACAACUAAUCUUUAGAUCAAAACAAAUUGAUAAUAUGUUGCAUCAGAUUACCCAUCUAUUGUAUAAUUUGCAUAGAUGGGUAAUCUGUUAAGUAGGGUUCAGAGAACCAGAGCAAUAGAUGGUUAAUCUGUUGUGAAAUAUGGAUCAUCUAUCCUAACAAAUUACCAUCUAUUGCACCAGUUGUAGUUGAUAGGUAAUCUAUUGCAACAGACGACCCAUCUGUCACAACAGAUGGAACAUCUAUUCUAAUAUCUUUCUUUAAGGCAAAUUUUUUUAGUUGAAAGAAGACGUACAACAUUAUCCAGAGUGUUAAAGAGAUCAGCCUCCUUAAUAUAUUUUUUGCUGCACUUUGUUGCAGCCAACCACCUAAGGAUCCUUGGAUGAGAAACCUUAUCCGGGUAAGCCUUGAACUUCUUUCGGAGGGGAGAAAUGGCUUCACAUGCCCAAGCCUAAAAAAUGUAAACAGGAAGCAAGCAAAAAAAAGUCAUAAUAACUAUAUUCAAUAUAAAUUAAUGAAUGAGUAAAAAAUAGUGAUCAAUUUUACCAUGAAAGCCUAAGGAAAGCCAUAUAAUGUGGUUAUCUUUGGAUUUAGCUUUGUCAGUAAAUAUUCAACAGUCAAGUAGUAGAAGUCGUAUCCCCAGGGAUAAUCGUUGAAUUUCCUAAAAUCAUUAGCAAGCGCCAACAGAUCAUGUUCUAUGACUUUCCUAACGUCUCUUGCCAAUAAAACGGAAUGGACAAACCAAACUAAGCACAAUUUCUCCCUGUAGUGCUUUGGUAUGUCUUUAUUCUUGAGAUCCGCCAUCAAAUCCUCCACUCUGUAGCUAGGUCCAACAAUGCCCAAUAACCCAUCUUUUUUACCUUGCGUUUGUUCGACUCUUUGUGGGGUGUUUCCUUGAUGAGAAGUUCUUCUGGACGAUCGCAUCUCAAUCCUGUCACUAUAGCAAACUCUUUCAAUCCAAAACAAACCGGCAUGCCACAGUAGUUGAUCCAGACUUCAUCCAUAUUUUUUUCGCCCUCCUUCGGACCUCCAUCAUCCCCCGCAUACUUGAUCCUGCGCUUGAGAAGGCCAUAUAUCAUGAUCAUUGGAAAACGGAGAAGACGGGCCCCAGAUAGCUCAAGAAAGUAUGCAAAGCAGCUCUUCUUAAAAAGUCCAUCUAUAUUUUCAUUCUUCAUAAUUCUCCUAAGUUCGUCAAAAGGUUUCCUCAACUGACAUUUAAGUACAAGAUCAUGAAAUACUGUGUUAGGGCUACUCAUCGGCAUCGCAAGUCUAAACCCGUCGAUACUAAUAGUUUUGACAAAAUCAUACAGUGAUUUCGAUAUUAUUUCAAACCCCAUUAAUGAGAAGGAGUUAUCACGUUCCUCAGCAUCAUUUUUCCCUGACUAAGAUUGAUCUGAAAGUUCCUCCGAAUCUAUCUAUACUCUAGCCUUUUUUGUUUGGUGAUAAGAAGUUGAUCCGAUGUAAUGACCGUACUAAUUUUUUUUUAUAUAAAAUUGGGACCUGCAAAAGACAAUGUAUAGUGGGAAGAAUUUUUAAAAUAAAAGGGCUAUGUGAUAGGGAAUGAAUGUUCAGAAGUGCGGUAAAGUUUCUUCUUUUUUUUUAAUUAUAAAGCUGAUAAAGCAAAGUUAUUCCCUUUUCUAUAAAUAUGAUACAUUAAUGUAUCAUAAAAACUCACAUAACAUCUCAUAGAAUAUCACAACUUUAUUGUAUGCCUUCUCUUCUCUUCCAUUUUUCUUCAUUUGGUAAACACAUUCAGAAGUUCUCCAACAGAAUUCUCUCAUCAUAGGUGAGCUUUUCUUUUUAUUGUAUUUAUAUGCAUUCCUUAAUUUACCAACCUGAUCACUUUCUUUUCUUGGACAAGAAGAAUUGAUAUGACCAUGUUUGCCCUUUUACCUUCUUUAAAAUCAUUUCAAAACAAUCUUGGUUUUGCCUACUGUUACUGUUUUCCCAUUGAUUCUUUCCUUUUUUGGAGAAACAUAUUAACUGAAGGAGUUUUGUUUGCUCAAAGCUUCCAUAAAAAGGGAUUUCUGGAUUUAAAAUUAAUGGAUACUAAAUUAGGUGGCAGUGACGAUGGUUUUGUGCAAAUUUUCUUCUACUUUCUGAAACUUUAACUAUAAUUAUAUUAUAUUGAUUAAGGCAGAAGUGGGUAAGUAUUAGAAAGUUUGGAAUGGAAGUUGGGCAGAAAUUAUUAGUUUAAGGUAGUAUGGCUCAUAGUGUAUAAUAGUUACAGGAAACAAUUUGAUCAUUUGAACAGUGAUAGUAGUAUAUUGUAACGGUUAAGCAGAUGGCAUAAUGGGUGAGGCACUAUCGAGGAAUUGAAUUACGGUGCUAGGAAUUACUGUUUAGUGUGUCGUUUUAGACUCCGAAAUUUAAUAAAGAAUAGAGUUUAAAGUUUAUGAUCUUUUUAGGGUAAGAAUUUAUUAAGUUAGGAAUAUUACAUUUGAUCAGAUUCAGAUCAUUCAGCUUCCACGUAAGGGCAAGUUUGUUAAUUGACGCUUGACUCUAGAUUCAGGCAAGUUGAGACUUUCUUUAAACUCUUUUUCAAAGUGCUUAUUUGAAUAUUUGUUAGUUAUGAGUAAUGGGAUUAAUGGGAAUUGGGGGUCCCGUGUAGAUAAUUGUGAUGAGCAUCUAUGCGGGUACCGAUGUUAUUUGAAGGGAUAAAAUCAGUUAAUUGUAUGUUUAAACUGUUAUUCCAAUUUGUUAGCCUGAUGGACUGAUUUAUUAUGGUAACUGUUGAAAAAGUUAGUUAAUGGUGAUACUUGCACAUCAUGCAUUGCAUUGCACAAUAUAUUAUAAAUAUUUAUGGGGUCGGAGUGCACACCUGCACAGUAUAUUAUAUAUAUUUAUGGGGUUGGAGUGCACGCCUGCACAAUAUAUUAUAUAUAUUUAUGGGGUCAGAGUGUACGCCUGCACAGUAUAUUAUAUAUAUUUAUGGGGUCAGAGUGCACGCCUGCACAGUAUAUUAUAUAUAUUAUGGGAUCGGAGUACACGCCUGCACAGUAUGUACAUUGUAUUGCAUUGCAUCGCAUUGCAUUGAUUUAUUUGCUUCAGAUUGAUUAAAGUGGAUUGUGUUAUAAAAUCUUUAUGACUGUUAAACUGAACUAUUCUGAACUAUUCUAUUUGAUUAAUGUAGUGUUCCUUAGAGCAGGUUGUGUAUUUGUGUUUUGAUGUUUUAUGUGGUGUCACUCGUCACCACUUUGAAUUAGGGUCGAUCGACGAUGCUUGCUGAGUACACGUGGUUCCGUACUCACUCUUGCUUUUUCUGCACCUACGUGCAGGUACAGAUCCGACGACCUCUGGAUAUUUAUCCCUGUUGUUCUUUCUUCGCUAGCAUCAUCGGAGAUUUGAGGUAGUUGCUAUUGACUUCUUAGACUACUGAAAUCUCCUUCAUCUUUAUUCUUAUGCAUUUUCCGCAUUUUAAAAGACUCAAACUUUUUUUUGGUUCUAUAUUUUAGUAGCUUGUAUUAGUGAUUUCCAAACCUGAGAUCAUCUACGAAUUGAUUUUACUAUUCUAAAUACCUACUUACAAGAUUGAUCGGGAUUGAAUCUAUUCUUAGUUCUUCUGCUUCUAUGAGUUUGGUAUGUUGUUUUUUUUAAAUUGAGUUUUUGGCUUACCAAUCACGGGGAAUGGAAUAGGUGCCAUCACGGUCCUGAAUAUGGGUCGUGACACUUUCAGUUUCCUUUCUUUUGGGAGACAUCUUUUAACUACAAAAAAUAGAAAAACAAAAAAUACAUUGCAUUUGAUAUCUGCAUAAUUUUUUUAAAAUAAGGUAAGACAAAUUUCAAUAAAUUAUUCUGAGCCACAUUACAAAAAUAAUACUCCAACGAACAACCCAUCAGUUGAAACAGAUGGGAAAUCUGUUUGACGGCCUAUGUAAUAUCUCCCAACAGAUAUUCCACCUGUUACAACAGAUGGACAAAUUUCAAUAAAUUAUUCUACGUCACAUUACAAAAAAAUACUCCAACGGAUAACCCAUCAGUUAGAACAGAUGGGGAAUCUGUUUGAAGACCUAUUUAAUAUCUCUCAACAGAUAUUCCACCUGUUGCAACAGAUGGACAAAUUUCAAUAAAUUAUUCUACACUACAUUACAAAAAAAUACUCCAAUGGAUAACCUAUCAGUUGGAAUAGAUGGGGAAUCUGUUUGAAGACCUAUUUAAUAUCUCCCAACAGAUCUUCCACCCGUUGCAACAGAUGGAUAACCACCACCACCACCAAUGUCACCAAGACCACCAACAAUGCCACCAAUACCAAUACCAACACCAAGACUACCGACACCACCACCAAAAAGCACAAAUACCGACACCACCACCACCACCAACCACCAACAACACCACAAAAACCAUCCAACAAUACCACAACAGUCAACAAAACAUUGAGAUAAAAGGUAGAGUUUUAAUUUCUCAGGUGCUUCCUACCUUUUUUGCAUCAAAACUCAAAAUUGUUAACCCAUUCUCGAAGAUAAUACAACUAAAAGGCUUCUUUUUCAUCAUUAACUAAAAAGACCUAUUUUUUAAAAUAAAGAACAAAUGUAGAACUCUUCUCGAACCCUAUUACCUGCGAAGACAAAGAAAACGACAAAUACAAGCGGGAAUGAAGUCGGAAAAAACAACUAUAUGUGGUCAUAAAUGGGAAGAAAAUCGACCUGUUUUGAAGGGUUGAACAAAAUGUUGAGUAGUUGUUGUUUGUAUUGUUGAGAGAGAGAGAGAAAAGAGCGAGAACUUCGGAUUUGAAAUGAAAAGUUUUUCACGCAAAUGGAUGAUUUGUAUGGGUUGAUUUGUAAUUUUGAAAAAGAAUGACAAGUUUUAAAAUUGUUAAUUUGGUCCAAAUUGAUUUUAAUUAAUUUUAAAAAUUUUAAAAGAUAUGUAGUUUUUAAAACAUUGAGUUGAUGAGAACUCAUUUCAACUCAGAGUGAUCGAUCGACGACCCGGGUCGAGAUGAACGUAAUACCAACGUCAUGCAAUUGCAAAGACUCAAUUGGAUUUGUAGUUGACCACUCUAGGAGCUCAUUCAUUCAUCCCUAGUUCCACCCAAAUCAACUUAGGUAAUGUUAAUCCUAACAUUAAGUUAAUGAGAGCACAUUUCAACUCAAAGUGAUCGAUCGACGACCUAAGUCGGGAUGAAUGCAAUACCAACGCCAUGUAAUUGCAAAGACUUAGUUGGAUUUAUAGUUGACCCUGCGAGCUCAUUCAUUCAUCCCUAGUUCCACCUAAAUCAACUUAGGUAAUGUUAAUUCUAACAUUAAGUUGAUGAGAACUUAUUUCAACUCAGAGUGAUCGAUCGACGACUCGGGUCGGGAUGAACGCAAUACCAACGCCAUGCAAUUGUAAAUACUCAAUUGGAUUUGUAGUUGACCACCCUGUGAGCUCAUUCAUUCAUCCCUAGUUCCACCUAAAUCAACUUAUGUAAUGUAAUAUGUUGGAACAAACGACUGAGAUAGUGAAAAUUUCAAACAGAUAUUCACAUCUGUUGUAACAGACGACAUAUCUAAUUUAAUUAUCAAAUGAACAUUUGCACAUGUUGUCAAAGAUGACUUAGCUGUUGGGAUAUUAUAACAGAUAUUGAUUUAUGUUGUAACAGUUGACAUAUCUAAUUUAAUUAUCAAAUGGAAAGGGAUUUUUAAACAAAUAUUUGUAUCUGUUGUAAUAGAUGACUGUGAUGUUGGAAUUUUUAAAUAGAUAUUUAUAUUUAUAGCAACAGAUUAUAUAUCUGUUUGAAAUAUGCGGUAAAAAUUGAAUAGUUUUUGAGUUUCUUCUUUUUCUUGGAUAACUCAAAAAUAUGUUCAGAGUGGUAGUCUUAACUUAUCUUUUCAAUGUCACUAGUCUUCCUCGUGCCCCUUCGUCAAAGAUGACUUAGCUAUUAGGAUAUUUAAACAGAUAUUGAUAUCUGUUGUAAAAGUUGACAUAUCUUAUUUAAUUAUCAAAUAGAAAGGGAUUUUUAAACAGAUAUUUGUAUCUGUUGUACAGAUGACUGUGCUGUUGGGAUUUUUAAACAAAUAUUUAUAUAGCUUCUGUCCUAGUAGAUAAAGUAGUAAGUAACAAAAAUGCGGUAAAAAUUGAAGAGUUUCUUCUUUUUCUUGGAUAACUCAAAAAUGUGUUCAGAAGAGUAGUCUUAUCUUGUCUUUUCAAUGUCACUAGUCUUCCUCGUGCCCCUCAAAUUAUUAAUGAAUAUUAAUUAUAUUAAUUAAUGAAUAUUGAAACCCACGUCUACGUACACGAUACAUUUAAGAAUUAUCUCAUCUCUCCUUCCUCCUCUCCUCAGGUCAGCCCUAAAUUUAUUUUAUUCAUCUCUCAUCUUUUUUUUUAUCUCCUCAAAGGUUAGGGUUAUCACAAUAUUUUUUCUCUCCUCUCUUUUCUCUUCUCUUUCUCAUAAAGAUCAUUUCGGAUCUAAACCGAUCCAUAUAUUUCCUCAACUGAAAUUGUUGUUUUGAUCCCUUUUUGACGUUAAGGUAUGAUUCACUAUUGCUUUUUCAUUCUCGUCUUCUUCUUUGCAAAGUUAUUUACAUUUGUUUUUUUAUUUAAUUACCAUUUACCCAUAUCAUAUUUAUUAAAAAAAUUUAAAGAAACUUUUAAGUGUUGAAUAAAUGAACCGAGAAUUUUUAUUACAAUAUGUGAAAAAGGUAUUCUGUUGGGAGAAGUUUAAAAGCCUUGCUGGCAGUAUCAUUUUUUUGUAUGUAUUUUGUUUGUUUCUUUAUUGUCUAUACUGUUAUUGAUGUUGGUGGUGGGGUUGGCGUUGUUGGAAGUUGUGGUUUGGUUUUGUUGAUGGUGUUGGAACAAAGGAUGUUACUUCUUUGUUGUUGAUGAUGUUGUUGAUUGUGUUGGAACAAAUGUUGUUGUUUCUUUGUUGUAUUUUUUUUAUUUUUUGCUUCGUUUCUUUGCAAUUUAUGCUAUUGUUGAUGUUGCAACAGAUGGAAUAACUGUUGGAACAAAUCAAACCACCAGCAAGGCUGGUUUGAUAUAUUCCAACAGACUCCACAGCUGAUGUAAUAAUGAAGUGUUCUUUCUGUGACAUCAAUUUUUUCCUCUUCUUUGUUGAUAUAAGGACCUAAUAGUUGAUCAACUUUUGCCGGACCAUCACAAAAGGUUGCAGUAAAGAUGGAUUCGAAUGAAUAAGUUGUAUGCAAAUGGAACCACUUCAUAUGUGGGAGGUAUGUAUUACUGAUAAUGUUAUCGUAGAAACAUACAUAAAGUACACUGAUUUUGUGAAAGUUGUUUUUACUGAUUAGUCAUAGAUCAUUCGAACAAGAUAUCUGCAAUUUUAUAGUUAAGUUGGGUAGGUUCGAACUGAUAAGGCUGAGGGACCAUGAAUAUGGUUGUGAUACCCUGUUAAGAUUUAAUGUAGGUUGUUGUUUAUGUUUAUUUGUCAAACAUUGUGAAGGGAUCUUGUUUUGGUGUCAUUGCAAAGAGAUUCAAUAGCGACUGAACUAACUUUUAGGGUGCAUUGGACCCUUAGAGGGCCUUCGAAGCUUAGCACUGCAUAUAACAAAAACGAAAAACCAAUAUAGUUAUUGUCGUAGCACAAAUUUAUAUGGUUGGGUUGCUCAGGGUGAUGAUUAUACGCCAGAAUGUGCGAUAGGAGAAUGCCUUCGAGGGAAAAUGGGUGGUUCAUGAAAGACUAUAUCAUCUGAGAUCUAAUUGAAGAAGAGAAUAAGGUAGAAAGUAACUUAACUUCUAGCGAAUUUGGACGAUGGAAUUAUCUUAAAACACGUGAAAUCUGAAUCAAGUGCAACUAUGAAAGUGUAUCCGGUAAUGUAAUUUCGCCCGUUGUCUUUCUGAAAGAAAAAUAAUGUAGAUGGACACUUCGCUAGGGAGCUACAACUAGGUAGCAUUGUCGGGAUUAUCACCUAGAUAGAAAGUAGGAGAAGACCAUGAAAGUCGCCUUAAGGGAAUCGAGGGUUGAAAUGAUGUACAUUAAGUCUAAAAAAACUCACCCCAACAGUAACUGUAGUUAAAGUAAGGAAUCUAAGUGAAGGCGGCGAUUGCUGAAUUUUAAAUUCCAUCUCAUUCCUUCUUGUUUGUGGUUUCGCUUAGGUCCACUAUUGUUGACCUGACCGGAACAACAAAUGAGAUUUGAAGGCAAAGUGAGUAUCAUUACUUCCUUAGCAAUAUGGUUAUAAUUGAUUGCGUUUUCUUGCCUUGGCAUGCUUUCAACAUUCCUUGGAGAAGAUCAGAUGCUUGCUGUAGUAUGUGAAUCCCGAUAAAUUUUCAAGUUUUCCUCCAGCUUGCUUAUUCUGUAUUCAAGCUGGUUGUUGCCAUGUUUGAAGUUGGUCAAGAGUUCCUAAUCUCUCAUGAGCUCGAUCAGGAACACCACUUUCAAAGUAGUGGCAUUUUAGAAGUCCUUCAGAUCACUUUCUUCAAAAGCCUUAAAAUGAUACAUGGAGGGUCGCUAUGUUUGUUUUAGGUCAAAAUGUGUUGAUGCACACUGAAGAUGUGGUCCCAACAGUUGAACAACACACUUUCAUAGAGCGUUGCUCAAUGUAUCUUGCUCAACCAAUUGGAUAAAUUAAUAAGCAAGGAGUUACGUAGCGUGUGAUCUAAACCAACUAUACCAAGUCUAUUAAACGUUACGUAACUCUAGGUUCGUUACCCUAUCAAAAAAAUUUGACCGAGUUAGUGUACAAUCAAACGAGCCCAAUCUCUCAACCUUUUUGUUGAUCGCUCUUCUCGAAUAUAGAUGACAAGAUAUUUUGCUAUGCAAAAGUCUACACCGUCGCCAGACAUGCUUGCCAGGCAAUAUAGAUGGCAAGCAUGUCUGAGACUUUUGUAUAGCAGAUAUCUUUGUCAUUUAUAUUAGAGGAGAGCGAUUAACAGAAAGACUUAGAGAUUGAGCUCGUUUGAUUUGUGCACUAACUCGAUCAAAUUUUUUUGAUAGGAUAAUGAGCUUGGAGUUAAGUAACGUUUGAUGGGCUUGGUAGAGUCGAUUUAGAUCACACUUUAUGUAACUCCUUGCUUAUUAAUUUAUCAAAUUAAUUGAGCAACGCUCGAUGAAAGUGUGUUAUUCAACUGUUGGGACGACAUCUUCAGUGUGCAUCAACACAUUUUGACCUAAAACAAACACAGCGACCCUCCAUGUAUCCUUUAAGACUUCUAAAGAAAUUGUUCUGAAGAAAAUCUAAAAUGCCACAACUUUGAAGGUGGUGUUCCUAAUCGAGCUCACGAGAGAUCAGGAACUCUUGACCAGUUUCAAAGACGACAACGACCAGCUAGAAUCCAGAAUAAGGAAACUGGAGGCAAGCUUGAAAAUUUAUCGGGAUUCACAUACUACAGCAAGCAUCUGAUCUUCUCCAAGCCAUGUGUAAGACCCCAUAAAUUUCUACGUCUAAAUUCAGUUUUUAAAGCUCUUUUGAAGCUCCUACUCUAAAAAUUUUUUAGCUAAGUGUUCAACACUUAGUCUCAUUUCAUUCCUCCAAACUUGGGAGUUAUUUGACGACCUUCGCGACCUUUGUUUUCAGAUUUUCAAGUUGUGUUGCGAUGGGUCAAGGUCAUAUUACAUCCCGGGUGAGUUUCAGAAUUUUCUGAAUAGCGUAAGAGCAAGUUUGGAAGUUCAAACCAGUGUAUCAAUGCAAACUCGAUGUGUCGCGUCGAUUAUCGCAUUGAUAAAUAUUUUUCCCAGCUCCCUAGGACAAUUUUCAGUAAGUUGGUACGAACUCGAUGAGGGGCGUCGACUGUAGCAUCGAUGACACCGACGGAGGCGUCAGCUAUAGCAUCGAUGCCAUCGAUGCGGCGCGUCGUCUGUAGCGUCGGUGAGUCAGUUUUCAGUCUUUAAGAACAGUAUCCAGAGGGGCAUUUGGGUAAUUUUCCCGCCCUUAUAUAAGCCACAAACACGAGAUUAAUCCCCAUUUCAACCAAAAUAUACCCCUUUUCAUCAAAUUCUCUCAAGAACACAAGCAAGGGUUUCCAUAGAAGAUCCAAAUUUAAGAAAGUCUCUCUGUCAAUCUUCGUAGAUUCUCAAAAUAAGAUAUGUUUAGUGUUGAUUCAUGGAUUUAUUUCCUCCAUGAAGCUCAAGAACCCCUUUUUAAAAUUUUAAAGCUUAUGCUUUUAUGAGAUUUCAUGAUCUAUGUGUAUUGAAGUUCAAGAUUAUUUGUUGUUGAGUUUUGAUUCAUGAUUUGCUUUCAAAGAUCUAAGCUUUAGUCCUAGUAUGUGAAAAUCAUGGGAUGUUCAUGUUGUUGGAUGUUGAUAAUCAUGUUGUUGUUAGAUGAUUCCCAAGAUGGGAUCUUUGUGUGUUGAUAUGAAACUAUGGGAGUAUGUGAGUUAGAAACUUGUGAAAUUGGUGGUUUAAGAAUUGUCAAAUUGAUGAAUUCACAUAUGCCUAAGAUGUGCAUGCAAGAUGUUUGAUAAAAUGCCUAAGAAAACUAGAAAUUAUGGAAUAUAGCUAAAUUAUGACUAAAUGAUGGAUUCAUGAUAUAACCCUAUGUUCAAAUAUUUUCUAUGCUAUGAAUGUGUCUUGAGACCUUGUUGGGUUGUUCAUGAACUAGCUUUAUGAAGUUAUGUCAUGUCAAAUUGCAAUCCCAAUUUAUGUACAAGAUUAUGAUGAUCAUGUACUUCAUGAAAUUCCCCAAAUUAUGGUAUUAUGAAAUUCCCCAAAUUAUGGUAUUAUGGAUUGUUGAUGUUGGUCAUGUAUUCGAGAAAGUCAUGCUUCGUUAGUUUCCUUCUAUCGAAUCCUGAGGAUACUUGUACCCUAAAAAUAUAGUUAUGUGCCUAGAUCUAUGUCAUGUUUUCACGAUACUCUCAGUCAAGCCAUGUUUAAUAGACUUCAGUCAGUCAGUCUCGUGACUCAGGAAAACUCAUGUAAAAAUCAGUAUCAGUCCAGUCCUACACAGUACUCUGUAACUUCAGUAAUCUCAGUAAUCUCAUGAACUCAGUUAGUUAUCAGAAUUCAGUAGUAUUCCGUUAGUCAACGGAAUUCAGUAAACUCGGUUCAUGUAUAGUUCAAUUAAUCAUGUUCAGUGUCUAUUCAGAUGGGAGUGGUAAUUAGCACCGAGUGAACCCAAGGAUGGGAACACACACUGUCAGAUGACGGUGUGAUUCUUAGCAAUCAUCCUUGCAUUCCAGAACUACAUAACCAACGUAGGAUGAGAUAUUUUUCCUGCCAGACUAGAGGGUUGAUACCUCACGUACGAGUUUUUCUAUCAGCGAGGGUUGACGAAAGAUUAUCCUGUCAGAGAGGGUUAACUCACAACAGUUGUCUUUACCUGUGGCACAAUAUUAGCACCCUUCCAAUUAGGGUUACAGAUUAGACCCCAACUCAGCUAUAUAAUAGAUUCGAGGCAUGUCGGUUAGAUGACUACUUCCCACAAUUUCAGUUACAAAAGCAGGUCUGUCAAAUACAGUCAUUCAGUCUUAGUAAUAGAACUUAGAUAGUUUUUCAGAUUUCAGGACUGUCAGACAUAGUCAACUCAGAUACAGUACGAAACUCAGCUAGUUUCAUCAAAUUCAGGAUUGUCAGAUACAGUAACUCAUGUUAUCGGUUAUAUCAGUUAUUAGUAAACUCACAUUAUCAGUUAUUGGUCGUUGUGCUGUAAAUCAUCAUCAUCUGUAGCUAAGCCAUUCGCAGCAGAACGAGGUCUACCAGGCCUUCUUGGCCCAGCAUCUCUAUUCGCAGUCGGAGUUCUGAAAGAAUUCAAAGGAACAGGAGAUAUAGGCGUUCCAAAACCAAAACCCUCCUGAUUUUCAGCUGAUCUUCCAGAGUCAUUCGGAGACAAAAACGGAUAAAACGGAGAAACCCCAGGCGGGAAAGGACCACUUGGCGGAACACACACAAAAGGUGAUGGUUGGGGAUUUGUAGAUGUCAUUCCAUUCGGGGUUGGGAAUACAGGGACAAGACAUCUCAAAGGCUUCACAUCCAAAACCUUAGACUUAUCAAUAGGCCCUGGUGGUGUACCAGAGUCAGAACCAAAGCCUCCUUGCUCCAUUUCAAUCUAGAAACCAAUAACCACAACAACAAGAAGACCACCACUUUCACUCACAUGAAUAACCCAAAUCCAAACCUCAACACUUCUGUCAAUUAACACUUAGAUCCAUGCACAAUCUCCAAUUUCCUAAAUCAAAAAGUUAGAAACAUCAAAAAAAGCAUUUUUACAACACCAUGCAACAACAGAAACCACACAACCCUCACCUAAACCUCCAAAGAUCCAAACUCCAAACUCAAUAACAGCUUCCCACAGAAAAACCCUAAUAAAAUCCAAACUUUCAGCAAAAUGAACAGGAACAAGCCCUAAUUUGAACUAACCCUAAAAUCCCAAUUCAAAUCCACCAAGAUUUAGCCCAAAAAACACAUGCAAAGCACAAAAUAAACUAACCCCAACUCAAAUUCUUUAACCAAAACCCCACAUAAACUCAGAUUUACUAAAAUGACAAAUAGAAACGAAAAAAUUUACCAAAAAAUUUACAAGAACAGCCAGAAGCAAAAGAAGUCUAAAACUGAACAUAAAUUCAAGAAUUUAAGGCCAAAAAGAAAGGAUCUUUAAAAGGAAAAAUACCUGAAAAUUUAGGGAAAUGGAUGUUGAAGGGGAAAGUGGAGCAGUUUUUCAAGAAAAGAAUUGUGUUGAGUGUGUCUGUGAAGUGGACAGUUUUGGGGUUAAAAAGUACUACACACAGUCAAAGUGUGUUUUUAGAUUUUGAAUAAAACAAGAUUACCUGCAUUAUUGACUCAUAUAAAUUAAUAAAUAAUAAAAAUAAUUUUAACACAUUAUUAUUUUAUUAUAAUUUAUUUAAAUACAUUAGAUAAUAACUAAAAUCAAUAAUAGGAUAAAAUUAAUAGAAAUAAAUAAAUUAUUUUUAUUUUUUUUAAGUUGAAUAAAUAUUUUUAAAUAUUUAUUUUUGAUACGAUAGAUAAGUAAAAAUAGACGAAGAGACUUAGCAUCUUUAUUAGGUGUCGGCUAACAUCAAUUUUCAGAUUUUUUUUUCUGUAAAUAAUUGCAUUUAAUGUUUUUUUUGACUGCCUUUUAAUGAUGAUUUUAAUCAAUUGAAAAUAAUUAUGCAUACAUCGCUUUAAAUGCACCUUAUAUUGUUAUUUUUUUUGUUUUAAUUUUUGAGGCAUUUUUUUAAAAUUUAAAAUUAAGUAAGUUUAGUUUUUAUAAUAAUUUUUUUAUAUGAAGUAUAUUUUAAAUCAUUAAUUAUUAUAUUUUAUAGUAUUUUUAUGUAGUUUUUGAACAACAACAACCACCUCAAUAUAUUUCCAUAUAGUGGAAUUUGAGGAGGGUAGAGUGUACGCAAUCCAUAUCACUACCUCGUACAGAGGCUGUUUUCGAUAGACCUCUGGCUCAAGAUAAAAGGCAAUAUACAAAAAUAUCAAAAGCAUAGAACAUGAUAAAAUAACAUAGAUACGGCAUCCACAAAAAAGUACAUUGUCAAACAAAGGACACCACAAUCCCCCUACCUACCGACUACAACUCAACCACACCCUUAGUCGUCUAUCCUAAUGUUUUUACUCCAUAUCUUCCUAUCCAGGGUCAUAUCCUCAGUUAGCUGUAACUGCUUCAUAUCACGUCUAAUCACUUCUCUCCCGUAUUUUUUUGGUCUAUCCCUACCCCGCUUGAACCUUUCAAGGCCAACCUCUCCAGUUUUUGAAUGUAUAAAUUUAUUUCAAAAACUUAAGAUUUGUUGCUUGAAUAUACAAUCAAACCUAAAUUAUUAUUUGACUCUUUGAAAAGCAAAAAAUAUCACAUAAAUUGAGACCGAGAAAAAAUAGUAAAAGUUAUCUUCGUCAUUUAAAUAAUAUCUUAUAUAUCUAAAGUUGGAGUGUUUAUUCAGAUGGUUUGAUUACAUUUUUUGCAUAUGAUUUAUUGGUUAUUGAUUGUCAUAUGUGUAACUAUUAUUGAAUCAAUAAAAUAUCGACUGAUUCAUUUGGCAAACAUCCCAAAACAUUUUCAAUUUUCAUAUAAAGCCCAUUGAAUUUGUUGAAGUUAACUUUCGUAUUCCCAAAAUAUAUUUGUUGAUCUAAAUAAAAUAAAAUGAGUGUAAAAAAUUUAAAUAAUAAAAUCUCAAUUGAUUUGAUACUAAACAAUAUUUAUAUAUAAUCAAUUUCAACUUAUUUGAUAUUAAAAUGUAAUAACAAUUUUUUUUUUAAUUAUUCAAUCUUACUUUUACACUUCACCUUAAAUUUCUUAUUAGUGCUAUUCAAUUAUAAUGGUUUACCUAAAAGAUUCUUUAUAAUCUCAAACAAAUAAAAUUUCCAUAAGGUCCCUCUUUUCAUAUUUAUCUGCUUUUCCCCAUAAAUAAAUGAAGUGAUAGUUAUUUUGCUACAAAACAUUGCAAAUUUUAGUAUAUUUUUCUUCAAUCUAGAUACUUAAGUUUGUUAUGACUUGAUUAUUCUUUAUCUUGUAAUACAUAUAUUUAUUGAUCUUAAUAAAACAAAUGAGUUCAAAAGAUUCAAAUUAUCAAAUCUUGAUUGAUUUGAUACUAAACAAUAUUUAUAACUAAUCUCAACUUAUUUAAAACUAAAAUGUAAUGAGUCUCCACUAAUAUAUUGCUUUGUGCUUGUGGUGUUAGGCAUUUUCAGGUGAAAAAUAAGUCUACUUGGAAUCAAAUUUUCAUCUUUUGUGUUUAUUCAUUGUUUUCUUGCAAUUAAUUAUCAACUAUGAUCUGUGACUUGUCAUUUCUGUUUUGUUUUUCUAGUUUUCCAUGUUUCUUUAAUAGCAUUUGUUGCUUUGUAUCAGCCUUUUAAAUGUUAUUUCACUCAUAAAAGACAUCUAUUUAGUUGUUUUGUCAAAUUUAAAGCUUUUUUGCAUAGUUGAUCUAGUUUUAAAUAUGGUCCAAGGUCAUACCUGUGCUCACUUAUGAUUGUAAUUGAACUAGUUAGUCAUCUGUCAGGACUUGAUCAAUCCUAAUUUUUUGUCGUUAAGGUGUAAAACUAAGUCAAGAAUUAUCUUUUCAUCGUCAAUUUGCGACCACGAUUUAAGUUGGAUAUUGGAUAUGGUACCAGUUGCUUGGAUAUUGAGAUAUUUAGUCAGUCCAAGCUUGGCAAGUAACCUGUAUAGUAUUUGUUGAUGACAUUUAGGUUGUUGCAAAAGUUAAGACUUUAUUACUUUUCUUCGUUUGAUUGAUCAAACUCUUAUGUAUUAUCAUCUUUGUUAAAGCUGAAAUAGUCUCCGGGGGGACAUUGAGUGGUGUGAGAAGGAUAUGGAUUCAGGCCGCUCCCUUUGUUGCAUUCUCGUUUUAGCUCUAUUUGGGAUAUGCAUCCAAUACCAAUGUUGUGCAAGUGGAAUUGACGCAAACCAGACAGCGCUACUGUUUGUAAAUGCAUCUUCGUUGAGUGCAGAAGGAGCUUUGACUAAAUGAAUUUAAAAACGCCCAUGAUCUACCAUGGUAUCAUAGACAGGUUUCCUCUGACCUGCUGCCAUGGGUGAUCACAAUACUCGCAUGCAAGAAUUACGAAGACACACCAGAAAUAAGAAUUUAGUCUAACGAUUUAGUCUAAAAAUGAUUUACCUUACUAGACUAAAAUAACAUUAAAAGACUCACGAGAAAUAAGAAUUUUAUUAGUAAUUAUUUGCAAGACAUGAGAAAUGGAGUUGAUACCUUGUCAAUGUUUACAGGUUUCUUGUCCCAACCUGGAAGGGCGAUAUAUCCAUGCAGCAAACAGCAUGAGUGCUCAAUGCUCUCACCAACUUCCAACUGCCUACUUCAGCAAACUUAAGGCAUUGAUGGUGAGUAGUUGUGGAGAAUUGAGAAACUUGAUGUCUCCAUCAGUGGCCAGAGGUCUUCUGAAUCUUCUAAAACUAUGGAUAGAAGACUGCCAAUCAAUGAAAGAAGUAAUUACAGAAGAGGAAAAACAAGGAGAUGAAAUCAUGGCUAAUGAGCCCUUAUUUCCCCGUUGGUCGAGCUGAACCUCAAGAAUCUACCAGAGCUGGGGCAUUUCAUUCUGACUAAGCAUGCUCUUAAAUUUCCGUUCCUCAUAGAAGUGCAGAUUUAUAAAUGCCCUAAAAUGAAGACGUUUGUCCAACAGGGUUCUGUGAGUACACCGAAACUCAAAGUGUCCUUACCGAUUCUCAACACGCGCGGUUAUGAAAGUGAGACGAUAGUAGAUGAUCUGAAUGAAUGGAUACAUCAGAGGAUCAAUUCUAAGGUUUGUCUUGUGGCGCUAGCUGGUUGUAUGACUGAUUAACUAUACUGCUCUCUUUCCAUCUUAACUUAAUAGUAAUAUUCAGAUACUCAUUUAUGUUCGUCACUUGAAGUAGGUUCCUUUUACCUUCCCCCAAAUGUUUAUCUUUCAACUAAAUACUGUAAUGUUUAUUCUUUUGUAAUCUCUACUCUCAGGAGGAAGACAACAACAACAUACCCGGUGUAUUCCCACAUAGAGGGAUCUUGCACACAGACCAUACCCCUACCUCAGAGGUAGAGAGACUGUUUCGGUUAGACCCUCGGCAAGAAAAAAUCCAAUCUAGGAACCUCGUGAAAGACAUAUUAUCUGGCUCUAGUUACUCAUCCAAAUCCAAAUCCUCAUAUGGGAAGUUCAAAAUUUCUAAUAAGAGUAUUUCAAUACUCACGAGAUUGAGUUGCCAAACCAUACAAAUUCGGGAAGUUGGGGAAAGCAAAACAUUACACAUUCCGUAAAAAUAAGCAUGAAAUGAUUUGUGUUUUAGUUUGAGAUCAUAAGAGUGUAGGAAGCAAAACAAUCAUUCCUCCAUGCGAUUUUCCUCCGACUGCUUUUGUGGAACCUGGACCUUGGCAGGCAGCGUAAGUGAUGGCUCUUCGUUGAGUGCAGAAGGAGCUUUGAUUAUGUGAAUGCUCUGCUCGAGCUCCUCCAUUGCUUCUCUCUUCCCUUUGGCUUUCUUUCCUUUCAUUCUGUAUGAUUUUCCAAGUAAUGUUAAUAGCAAGUAGUGUUAAUACCAAAUCCCUGAAGAGUAGAAUGCAGCGACUUGUUCCCUUUUUCUGUUAUAACUGCUUUGACAGUUAGUUACACUAACUACUAACGGCAAGUUAGUUAGUUUAAUCACUCACAAGUCUGUAAAUGUAGAGGCUCAUGUACAUUGAGUCAUUAUGAAAUACAACUUAACUACUCUCUCUUCCUAAUGAUCUUUCUCUCCUCUUUACCUCCUUCUUCUACAUCUUCUUCUUCUUAAUGUGUUCAUCUGUGAUUGCUUCUAUCAAGAAGUAAGUAUAGUAUUGCUUAGUUAAUGACAGAAACAUGUGCUCUUCAUACUACCAGACUUUCUGUGGACACACUGGUAGACUUCUGGACUGCCCUGGGCGAAGAGACACGACAUUCUCUUCUGAAAAUGAAGGAAGAGGACUUUAUUGAAAGGCUCAUGUACCGGUGCGUAUAAGGCCCUUUCUUUAACUUGUUCUUUGUUUAACAGCUUACUAUUAUCCUCUCUUUUCGUGUCGUCCAUUAAAUAUAAUUUAAACAUUAGAUAGGCUGAGUUAGAAAUUGUAAUUUAAUCUGGGAUUGCAAGUUUAAUUGAGGGGUGGGUUCAAUUAUUUCGAAGUCUUAUCCAAUGAACAAUGGACUACGAUCAGAUGGCUUCUGGAUUUGUACUGUUCAAAGUAUGGUUUUAGUACUUCUCUUCUUUAAGUUAAGAAGCCAACAUGAUUCACUGGAGGACCAUACCCAAGUUGAAAUCAAGAAAUGAUGAGUUUCAGGAUGGAUUUCUCUUGAGUUGUGAGUUAUCUAAAAGGUGAAUGACUGGUAAACAUAGAUAUAUGAGUUGAAUGACUGGUAACGAAGGAUAUAUUUUGCGUGAUGCCUGUCGGUGAAUAUCCUGAUGUGCAAUUUUAAUGAGCCCACAUAUAUUAGUCUGCCACGGGUUCAAUUUUGUAUGAAGUUCAAUGGUACCAGAUGCCUUGCCUUCUCUCUGUCUAUAUAUGUUAUUGUGGUUUGGAGAAGUAAUUGCAUCAUACAUGAGGUCGUGGUAGGGUUCAGGAUUCUGCCAAGUCAUAAGUGUUGUGUCAUUUUCACGACCCAAUUUCUCAAGUCGUGAUGGCGCCUACUUUAACCCACCAGUAGGAAAGACAAGCCAUAGUCCGGAAUGAUAGAUAACGGGCUAACUAGCAGAGACCAAAUAAAAGAUCACGUAUAAUUGUAACGCCUCAAAAUCGCAUCCUGAAGCGUCAUACGGUGCUCAAGGCUACGAAUAGCCCCAAGCUAACCAUUUAAGCCUGUUACUAGUAUAGAACUUACUUCAAAGUAGGCAGUGCUAAAUCUUGUUAUAUCAAAACUGAAACAACUAGAAAUAUCGUCUGAAUACUUACUACUGAAAUCUGAAGAAAGCAACUGAUAGUCUGAAAGUCUACUCAUAGUCCGACAAGCCUCUACUAAUAAAGAACUGGAGAGUCAUUAGGACAAACCCCCAACUGACUCGGACUGACUAAAAGUAAUAAACAACUGCUACCAAGAUUGAAGAUCUGAAAAUAGGUCCUCGAACCAAGAGAACUCACCAACUACGGAAGUGUAGAUAAAGGUACUCGGAGAUUACUAUCGCUGCUGAGACUGAGCACCUGAACCUACAUUAUGAGACAAUGUAGCAUAUAAACAUAUGUGGAUCAGCACGUUGAGAAUGUACUGAGUAUAUGGGGGUGCAAUGUAAUAAUAAUACAUAUUUUAUAGCCACAGUUUAUAAAAGAAUGCAUGCUAAUGUAAAUGACACACACAGCUUGAAUAAAUCUGAAAUCUCAAUCUCAUAAAUCAUGAAAUCAUGUAGCAUAUAGUAAAACUUCGUGAGUCAUUACGCCUAGUUCUAAAAUAUAUAUUCUCCUCUUAUUCUCCAAGCUUAUAAGAAAAAGAAUCUUAAGACAAUAACUUUCAAAACACAUACUUUUAUCUUAAGGAGAAUAGGGGACUUUUUUUCGAAAACUUAUAGAUAAAUGAACUUUGGGAACUCAAGGACUUUGGACCUUAGGACCUUUGGGAGUGGGAGCCUCUUCUAACCGACAUAAACCAUGUGAGAGUUCUCAUGGAGUCCAAUGUCUUGCCCACGUUGGGGAGAGCUCUUCUAUCCUUACCAUCGGAAUAGAACCUUAACUUUAAUGAUCACUAUCUUAACCCACUUGGGGUGAGUCAUAAUCCUACGGUGGCUCGUAGUUCUGGGGCAUGAAACCUUGGAAUCAUACCCAACUCGGUGCUAAAUACUACUCCCAUACUUAGGCUCAGAACUUUCUAGGAAAUCCACCUUAAACAAAACAAAAAUGUGUAAUGGAAGCUAACUAUGCUUCUCUUUGACUUAAUUCAAAAUGAUGUGGACUCCUUUCUUUGCUUAGGACUUAAAUAUCAAAUCUUGCUAAAAUCAUCUUUCUUGAAUACCAAAACUAAAACUCAGGGCUUGCAACCCAUACUUGAAAAUCAUAUCAAUUCACAAUAAACUUUAAGCUUACAAUAGUAGCAUCAAAAUACUUUACCAAAUCUAAAAAUUCAUUCUUGAAUUCUAAAGCAUUCUUACCUGCUAAGGGCAUCUGCCACUAUAUUGGCCUUGCCCGGAUGAUACAACACACUCAUAUCAUAAUCUUUUAGCAAUUCUAACCAUCUCCUCUGACGAAGAUUCAACUUCCUCUGAGUAAACACAUACUACAAGCUUUUGUGGUCUGUGAACACAUCAACAUGAACACCAUACAAAUAGUAUCUCCAGAUUUUCAAAGCAAAAACUACAGCAGCUAAUUCCAGAUCAUAGGUUGGGUAAUUCUUUUCAUGAGGCUUCAACUGUCUAGAGGCAUAGUGUCACGACUCGAUUUCUCAAGCAGUAAUGGCGCCUACUUUAACCCACCAGUAAGCAUGCCAAGCCAUAGUCCGGAAUGAUCGGUAAUGGGCUAACGGGCUAUCAAGAAGAGACCAAAUAAAAUAUCACAUAUGAUAAUAAUAACAAUGAUAAUAAUUGAAAACUAAGAAGGGAGCAUAUAUAUUAUAUCAAAACAAGAGAAGGAAAAAGGAUUAACUAUACAAAUGAAUCCCUCCCAAGACCUGAUAAGAUCAGUACUAGACAGACACCCAGGUACUAGACAAAAAUAAAAUAAAUAAAUAAAAAAUACGCAAUAUACACAAGCAGUCUCGAGUGCAAAAGACUAACUGGAGUAGAUAAAGGAAGAUCAGCCUCAAAUAACAGCAAGCUCACCAAGCUCCAAACUAGUACUGGAAGGUAGGAAUCACGUCAAAGUCAACUGCUAGUGCCCGAAUCUGCAUCAGGAAAAAGAUGCAGAAGUAUAGUAUGAGUACCAAAAAUCACGGGUACCCGACUGAGCUCAAUGCAGAAAAGGUAUAACUACAAUGCGAGGGCAUAAUCUGAGCCAUUAGGAAAUAGGGAUGGAAAGGUAAACAACUACCAUGCUAUGCAAUGGCUGUAAAUGAAUAAACUUAUUUGAUACAGAAAAAUAAAUAAUGCAGUAAUAACAGACUAAACAAACAUAAUAACCUAACUGGACCCCCAUAAGCCCGCUAGGCACACAACAUAACCUAACUGGGCCCCCAUAAGCCCGCUAGGCACACUGAAGAAGACAAUUAACCCAACCGUACCCCCAUAAGCUGGUGAGACACACAAGUAAUGAAAAUAAACAUAAAUAAUCUAUAACUGCACUGAUCUUCAUAAAUCAUAAUAGUCUUCCAGAUGUGCACCGAACUUUAACCGACACCAAUGGAACGUUUGAUAAAUGAGUCUUCCUAAUUCUUCUAUAUAGUACUUGAGUUUAAAAUUGUACAAAGUUGGGGUUUACCGUAAGGAACGUUUAAGGCCCAUUAGGAAAAUCAAUAUUAUCGUAAUAUUUUUUUAUAUAUAAAUAUACUCAUGGGUACAAUUAAAUAUACUUUCAACUCCUCUCUCACAAUUAAACUAGGGUUUAAAUUGUGGUAUAAGCAUGGUUGACUGCCACCAUCUACCAGUAUCCUCCAACAUAUCGAAACAAUUACCACCAUCGAACAAUAACUACAGUCGUCAUUAUUUAGCUUUCGCUAAAGAACAAUUAAGUUUUCUGUUUUACGAUAUAUGCAACGAUCUAAUUAGUUUAAAAAUCAAUAUGUUAUGUGUAAUUCUAAGUUUCAUAAGCCUAAUAUGUAGUUUAUAUGAACGCUUUUAAAAUUCGAAUUCGCAUAUAUCCAUAACUUCUUCGUUCUUAUGUGUUUGGAUCAGGAUGGAGAAUCUUUUAGAGAAGAGUUUGUGUUAUAAUACAGCCGAUAUACCAUUCGUUUGGUUGGGGAACAAGUUAUUCCGGGGGAUUAAUUAUGCGGUUUAGUUAUCUCGGCAUUAGUUAUCCCAUCAUCAAAGUGGAAUAAAAAUAAUACUACAAUCUUGAAAUAACUAAUAGCUAUCCCAUACAUUUUAUCUCAACCAAAUAUGAGAUAAGCACAUUAAGAUUACUUAGAUAAUAUGUAUAGCAGUACGUAAUUAAUCCUCUUUAAAACGUGAGAUUAGAAAUUUUACAAGUUAGAUAUGUUCUAUAGCAAAUAGGUAGUAUGUUGGGGUGUGAAGGUAGAAAGAUUGUUUCAUACUCUCAGUUCAAGUAACACAAAUUCAAAAUAGUUAAAAAAAACUAUAAUAAUGAAGAAACCAUUGAAAAUAAGAAACCACUAGAUCGGUUUUUCACUUUGAAGCCAAGAGAUUGUAUCAUCAAAGUCUUGGUCAUCGGAAGUGGGCCAACGAAGUCUUUAAGAAUGGAGGCGGUUCUUGAAAAAUGGUUAUAUUAGUUGAUGAGGAGGUAAUAUUACAUAAAAAAAUAAAUUAAUUUUAAAAAAUCGACCACUCGUGGUUGAUUUUUAUUAAAAUAAAAAGAAAAUAAUUUUUAAAAACCAACCACCUGUGAUUGUUUUUUAAUUAAAAAAAAAAACACUUGUGGUCGAUUUUUAUUAAAAUAUAAAGAAAAUAAUUUUUAAAAAUCGAACCAUAUUUAUCAAAAUCACAUUACAAUGCUAAAAUGCUUUAUAACUCUACUUUACAAAUUUGUAUUUUUUAUUUAUGUAAUGUUUUUUCUAAGUAGAGUCUAUUUGUCUUUUUCUUUAAUUUUUUUUUAUGUUUUAGCUUCUUUUUUUUUUUAGGUGUUGGAAUUUAUAACAUUUAUUUUUUUUAAUUCCUUUUUGGUUUAGACAAUAAUUAUUUUUUAAAUUUCUUUUUGGUUUUGACAAUAUUUACUUUUUUAAUUCCUUUUUGGUUUAGGAUCUCCUAUAUAUAUAAAAAAUAUUAUUGCAUAAUCUUGUUCAUGAACUUUAUCACUUUUAUAUUUCUAGGUUUUCUUUCUUAACAAAAUUUUCUUUUAUAGUAGAUCUUAAUGUUUGUCUUAUUACUUUCUCUUAUGUUUUCUACCAUAAAUAUAUCAUUCAUAUUCUUUAUCAAAAUUGAAGAUUCUUGAAGUGAAUUUGUCCAGAGGUAUCUUUUCUAAAAUUUUAGACUGAUUUUGAAGUUUACAAUAAUAAAUGAUGUAUUUUUUGAUAAACAAUUACACAAAGAAAUGUCUUCCUGUAUACAUACAUGCUCUGGCUCACAAAUAUCUUAUUUCUUUAGCAUACAAAAAAAAAUACACAAAUUCAAUUGUUUAUUUUACUCUUUUUAGUUCAUUUCAAUAUUUUUUUUAAAAUACUCUAUUUCUAAUUUUUCAUACAGUAUAUUUAAAACUACAAGAUUAAAAUAUAUUUUAACAUAUUUCACAUGUUUAUAAUAAUUAAAAGAGACAUUAGAAAAUGUAUGGUGAAUUAUCAUGUUCUUCACAUUUUUUGUCUUAAAAUUAAUGUUGAUUUUUAAAUUUUUUAACUUAAUAAUAUAACGUACACACAAUAAUUUGUUCUUUUGAUAUUCAUGUAUUGUUAAUUAACUACAUACACGUACGAAGUAUGUACACAUAAACUAAUACACACACGCGCGUGCACGCGCGCGCGCGCGCGCGCACACACACACACACACACACACACACACACACACACACACACACACACACACACACACACACACACACACACACACACACACACACACAUAUAUAUAUAUAUAUUUCAAAUUCUAUGCACCUUGGGGGUUUGACAUAUAAGUUUACAAGUAAUGAUUUACACAAGCACCUUUUGGCCAAUGGAUGUGUCAAAUAAUUUAAUAACCUCAAAAGAACACACCCGUUCGGUUUGUAAUGUAGAUGCAACUUUUUUUUUUUAAAAGACGUGGCAAUUAGAUUUUAAAAAAGGAUAUUUUAGUAAUUUCACUCAGCUCAACACUCUUCUGACUAUAAAUAAGAUUUGGAGAUCAUGCUUUUAAGAUAGUAUAAUAUAUAUAUAUAUAUAUAGAGAGAGAGGGAGAGAUAUAUAUAUAUAUGUAAUAAAUUUUCGUACCAUGCAUACAUGAAUUGGCAACACGUGUGAAGCACGUGCCGAAAAAACUAGUUGCAUAAAAAGACUAUACUAUCACUAUGGUUUAAAUCAAUUCCAAUAAUUUUAAUAUGUAAUUAGUAGAAAAACAUGAGCUUUGAUUUAGACAAAGUUGAUGAUCAUAUAUACAUAACAAAUACGAUGUUCCUGAAUAUUUUUUUUUAAUGUAAAUUAAAUUUUUGAAAAAAAACAUGAUUGGACAUGAGAAUAACGGAAAAGUUAUUUUCACUGUAAUUUACUCAUAAAAUUUUUGAAAUAACUUUAAUUUAUUUGAUGACUGAUCAAACACUUGUCUAAUUUCCAAAUUAUUAAAUAAAAAGGUUUAAUAAGGAAAAAUAGAUGUAAGAGCAAGUGUGUUGUGUGGCAUGGCAUGUCACAGCUGCAGUACAGUAGCCGGUAACCAGUCAGUCAUAUGGAAAGAGUUGAAACGGUUCUUUCAAUUGACUCGGUAACCUGUAGUUGAAACGGUUCUUUCAAUUGACCGGUAACCCGUAAUUGAAACGAGUGCUACAUGCAAAGAGGACCUAAGAAUAAGACCGGACAUCAUAACAACGAAAAUAUUACACAUGUUAGACAAUUCAACAAUAAAAGACGGGUCUUUCAAUAAUCAAACAAUUCCCGAUCAGUUUAAAACUCAAUGGAUAAUGGGCACAGAGGCGAACCCAGGAUUUGAGUUUGAUAGGUGCACCUCUAUAUUUAACAUAAUAAUUAAUAGUGUCAAAGUUCGACAUACAUCUCUUUGAAAACUUAUUAAUUAUAGUAUUUUAUAAGCAAACUUUUAAUAUUAUUGAGUAUCAUUAAUUAGAUUUAAUAUGACAAAAGUGUGUUAUCCAUCAUACUUGAAUUCAAUGCACUUUUAUAUUUUAAAUAAUAAUAAAAAGUUUUUGAAAAAUAUGACAUUCGAAAGAUUUGUUUGCUAGAUGGUUGUAUGGAAAACGUUUGGUUUAAGCCUAUCUCAAACUUUAAAUUGCUAAUUUUUUAAAUAAAAAAUAAGUCAAUGAUCAAAAGAUAAAAGAAAUAAACAUUUACAGCACAAGAUAGGGAGAAUAUCUACAACCAAGGCUCAGGGUUCAGGGUUCAGGGUUCAGGGCUCAGGGCUCAAGGUUCAGGGUUUAAGGUUUAGGGCUCAAGAUUCAGAAUUCAGGGUUCAAGAUUCAGGAUUCAGGGCUCAGGGUUCAGAGUUCAGGGUAGGUUAUUCCAAAGGUAUCUAAUCCCGAGUCCAUUACCCAGUAUAGUCCUAUCUGUCUCUGUAACACUACAUACAAGAUUAUCACCAAGACAAUUGUCAACCGAAUCAAACCUUUUCUCAAGGACCUUAUCGAACCGACACAAUCAAGUUUUUGGAAAAUCAUAGAGCAUCUGAUAAUGCUAUGCUUGUGCAGGAACUCUUACAUCACCUACAAAACACCAAAUUUAGGAAAGCCUACAUGUUGGCAAAAAUAGAUCUGAAAAAAAUGCUUUUGACCGACUGAAAUGGUCCUUCAUUCACGGCACUCUCCUUUACUAUAUAUUCCCUCAAACUUUGGUCAACCUCAUCUUGUCAUGCAUCUCCACUACUUCAGUGUCCUUGUUAGUCAAUGGCUCAGCAACUCCGUUCUUUGCGCUUUCCAGAGGAAUCCAACAGGGACCUUCUCUCUUCGUAUUUUUUUAUUCUGUGCAUGAGAAGGCUCUCUCGUAGAAUCGACUCAGCAGUCGAUAACUGUCUAUGGACCCUGUUAAAUUAUCUGUACGUGCUCCCCCCAUUUCACAUUUGCUUUUUGCCGAUAAUAUUAUUCUUUGUGUUGUUGUUGACACUAUCUCUUGCAACACUAUGACUAAAAUUUUUGAGCAUUUUGAAUUUUUUUUUGGUCGAAAAAUUAAGCUGGCAAAAUAAAAGCUCAUUUCUCUAAAAAAUACUCCUGCCAUAGCCAAGGACAAGAUUGUUCAUGACUUUCAAGAGGGUCAAAAAAUUGAUAAGUAUUUAGGCUUCCAAAUGUUUAUGUCUAAACCUAAUAAGUUUUACUUUCAUUUUCUUCUAGAUAACUUCAAGAGUCGCCUGACUGGUUGGAAAACUCCUUUGCUUACUGUUGCUGGGAGAACUACCACUAUAAGGUCAACUCUAAACACCCUCUUCAACCAUGUCAUGUACCUCUUACAACCCCCUAGGUACGUCAUUCAAAAAAUGGAAGCCUACGAGCGAAAUUUCCUUUGGGGUGCAACUUUUACCAAUCGUAAGCUUCAUCUCCUAAAAUGGCAAGCCGUUACGACUACUAAGGACAUUGGAGGCCUUGGAAUCCCAGGACUCAAAACCAAGAACCUUGCUCUGUUAGCAUCCUCUGCCUGGCGUGUGUUUCAUUCCAACGUCCCUUGGGCUCAAGCACUCAGAUCCAAGUACCUAAGGCGUAAAGGGGGAAACUCCAGAAUUUGGAAAGCUAUUAAGACAGGUUGGGCUCAAUGUCAAAAUGGGCUCCAAUAACCUUCAGAUGGGAAACAUGUCCUCUUCUUUACUGACCCUUGACUUGGGCCAAACUGUUCUAUUUGUAACCUCAUUUAAGGACCUCUUCACAGGAAUGAAUCAAAAGCUAAGAUUCAAUCCUACAGAACUGAUAAUCGGUGGACUUUCUUUGGGCUCUACUUUGAAUUUCCCCAGACCAUCCUCUCUCGUAUUAACUCUAUUUAUUUCCCUCACUAUAAUGUCUCUAAGGUUGACAGAAUCGUCUAUGGUCUUACGAAUAACAAAAUAUUUUCGGUUGACUUCUGUUACAAUGCCUUAGCUAGAAAAGAGCUUAUGGUUAACGGUGAUGUAGAUUUUCUGUGAAUUUGGUGGAAGCUAAGUAUUUCGCCGAAGCUUAGGCAUUUUUUAUGGCUUCUUUACCGCAAUCGCCUCCCUUCAACCUCCUUUCUGCAUUAUAUAAAUUGUCGUUCCUCCCCUUUCUGUCCUCUUUACCAUUCUUUCCCUGAAACUAUUUCCCAUCUUUUCUUAAAAUGUAAGUUUUUGGAGCUGCUUUGGGUUGAGUUAGGUAUCUCUGUUCAAAUAGACAACAUCAUGUCAGCUAUCAGUGAUCAUUAUCCUCAACGGUGGUGGGGCCCUUCACCGGACACCGCGCAUAGCGAUAGCUUAGUGCACCAGGCUGCCUUUUUUUUUUUUACUAAUCUAAAGUCAUUAAGUGUUAGCGGAGAAGCUAUGUUGCUAAAGUCAUUAAGUGUUAGUGGAGCGGCUAUGUUGCAUUAAAAAAACAAGGCAAUUUGGUGCACUAAAGCCCUCCCUAUGUACAGGGUUCGGGGAAGGGCUCGACCACAAGAAUCUAUGAUAUGCAUUCUUAUACCUUGCAUUGCAAAAGGCAGUUUCCAAGGCUUGAACCGAUGACCUCCUAGUCACAUGGCAGGAACUUUUACAUAAGCUAUGUAAAUUGGUAAUUACAUGAAUUGUCUGGUUAUCUCAAGAGAUUAAAGGAAAGAUUAGCAACUUUGGGGUAAGACUGCGCAUAAUUACCACUUGCGGUCGGCCUUCUCCGAACUCUGCACAUAGUGGGAGCUUUAGUGAAUCGGGUUCCCUUUUUACAUCUAUUGCCCCAAAUAAGAAAAUAUUGUUGUGGUAGGCCCUUUUGUUUGUCCUGUGCCUUUUUUAGAUACUAUUUCAUCUCCGUUCGCUGGUUACAAGAUUGUGUUUGUUCUUUACACCUACUGAUAAAUUCCCUCCCUUUCUGGAUUUUCCAUUGAGGCCUCAGCUAUAAUAAAAUUAUAGAAAUUUUGAUCAGCAAGCUCCCAUUAAUGUAUCUAAUUGAAAUUAUACAAGUAUUGUUAUUGUAGUGAUACAUUAUUUUAAAUUUAAUAGCUCUAGAAAUUACUACAGCGAUAUGAAAAACAGGUUCAGUGAUUCUGUUGAAUGUAUCAUCAUAAUUUUAACAUAGUUUUUCUCCAGUAAACAUAUAGUAUAUAUAUAUAUAUAUAUAUAUGUCAAUUUUUUCUAGAGGUUCUAUGUGUCGGUAAAGAUCUGGUAACGGAGCAGACUUCUAGUAGGAUGAUUACUCUAUUGAAGCAGUUUCAGCAAACACUGCGAUUAGCCACUCUGGCUUCAAUAUGGUCAUCCCUGCAGCCUCAACAACAGUUAACACUGCAUUACGGUGCUAUCAUCAUAUAAUGUUGACGUUUUUUCUCCAACGCCACGAACCUGUAACUAUGUUGAAUCAAUACUAUUUGAUCCUGCAUUCUCUCAUUAAUGUCAUUAUUUUGAUUUUAUGUCUAUGUGCCGGCCUGCUGUUGGUUUUGGCCUUCAGUAAGGAUAGGAGUAUUGAUGAUCAUGGUUUGCGAAGGGGCUUUGUUGGUCAAAUGUGUAAGGUUCAACGGUUGCUAGGGUGACCGGUCUUGGCUCAGUUUUAGUCGUGUCAUCUCUUGUUUUCUUUAUACAUUUUGUUGCUUUGAUUGUUAUUGUAUUCGACAAACAGGUGCAAGUCAAGUCUAACUUCAGUUAUUCUGCAACUUGGUAGAAAAGGAAAAAUUAUCUUGUUGCAUUUUGUUGUUAUUUUCACCUGUUUGGAACACUGAAGUAAGUUUUUCGUCAAAUGUACAUUUAUGUUCCGGCCUAUUUGUUUGUUUCAAUAUCUGAACUAAAGUGCUUAUGUUGUUAAUGUGACAGCUCCAAUGAUUGCUCCACAAGUUGUCUCACCUCCUGUGCCAUCAAGGGUGUCAAAUGGAAAUACUCCGAUGACCACAAUUGCUCCGGAACAAGUUCUCCCACCAUUGGGAUCAACUAUUGAUAGGCCAUUGGAAGUUCUUUGUGAUGAACAGGAAGAACAAAGAGAAAGAAAACUAAACCUUAAUCCUUUAUCAAGACUGGAUCAGGCACUAAAACAACCAACUAAAUGUUGUCACCAAAUGAACGGACAAUCAAAGAAAAUGAUCAGCAAUGUCAAGUCUUUGUUGGUGUCUAAUCUCACUUCAAAGACGACUACUAACGUGGAUGACAUGGUUACUUUUGCUGUUGGUGCUUUCACCAUGUUGAAUUGUCUCAGGGCUGAUUAUGAUUGCUUCUACAGAGAUGUGAAGGAUUUGAUUUCUAAAAAAUGCGAUUUGUAAAUUGAAGAGAGAAAAGGAGAUAUGCUGUCUUUUUCUGAAUUGGAGAGAAAGUUUGAAGAGGUUGUCAUUCUUGUUGAUGAUCUUCAAGAGGAAAUCCAACAUACUGGAGGAGAACUCAAAAAGGGAACCUCUGAAGAGGGAAAUUGAGGAGGAGAUUCAUAGAAAGAAACAAGUGGUUGCCAAUAUUGAACAUGAUGUAGAGCAUUUGAAAAGCGAUGAAGAAAAACAUAAAGCAGAGGUAGAAAGACUUGGUACCCAGGUUGAGGCAGCUAAAACAGUGCAGGAGGAACACGAGCAGCGGAAGAAUGCAGCUCUGCAAGAGAUUGAAUCAAUCAGUAGACGCCUACUAGAUCAAUAAGUUACAUUGCUAUAAUUUUAUCUGCUCUAUCGUUACUGGUCAAUGGUGUAAGUAACUAGUUCAUGAAUCUGAACAUUUCUGUUUGUAGGUCAAACACUAAAUGUUUACUUUUCCCCACCUUAGAUAAUUACAUACCAGAGAAGUCUCCUUGUGCUGUUGAAUGUCUCAAGCUCUGUUACCUCCAGCUCAUGCGCUAUUGACAACAGUUAAAAAUGUUGAAAACUUUUAGGGCUCAGAUUUUGUUGUAUAUGAAUAUGCGGAGUGAAAGCAACACAAGCCAUGGCUGCAAGACACUGAUUUGCAUAUGGAUGCCAUACCGUGAGAUACGGGUCGGAUUUUCCCAAAGCAAUAAAGUAGAUUACAGCCCAGAAAGAAGCAAACCAUAGAUCGAUCAACAUCAAUAGAGCACACUACUCUUUAAAAAGCAGCUGCAGCUAGCUACCUUUGUAUAUAGAGGGACAUAAAAGUGGAUAUUCGCGAAAAUCAGCUGCUGUAGUAUACAGUAGCAGAAAAGGGAAGUGCAUGUAGACUUUUUCCUUUUUGAGCUAAGGGCUGUUGAUUAGAGCAAAGGAAAAAAAGAAGUCACAGGCGUGGGGGAGAUGAAAAGCCCAAUACGGUAUCAUGCUAAAACUUUUAGGGCUCAGAUUUUGCUGUUGUACAAUCAUGAAAAGAGAAAGCAGCACACGCCAUGGCUACCGGGUUGCCUCACCAAGAUACAGGCCAGAUUUUCUCAACGCAGUGAAGUAGAGAUUAUAGUCCAGAAAGAAGCAAAUCUUCAUCACAGCGCAUCUUUUCAGACCAUUGAAACACCUCAUUUAGGUUCCCAACUCUUGAAAAAACAACCGCAUACCACACAAAUAAUAUAUUACACUCCCAAAAAAUAUAAGCACAUAAGCACAAAUUCUAUGCCGGGAAGAAAAAUAAUACUUAGUAAUAAAGGCAUCAGACGUUUAAAUAAAAAUAUGAUAAUAUUGUAAGUAAUAAUGUAAUUGUAUCAAAACAGGUAAUUUUUCAACCUAUCAAUUUUAUUACUGAUCUGUAUAUAUGUUUUCAUAUGGUUACUCCAACUUUUAUCAGUUGACAAUUUUAUCUAAAAAUUUUGAACUAUUUCAUGAAGAGGACAAAAAGGUGUACAUUUGCUGAAUGACUGACUGGGAAAUUGUGUUAACUUUUGUGUUCAAUAUAUCAAAAUUAGAAUUAUUCAUUAUUACCAUAUGAAUCUAUUUAAUGCACCUACAAUGCCUUUAAUACUUUCAAUAAGAAACAAUCCUGAAUCACUUGGGAGUCAAACUUAAAUCUUUCUCUAUUAAGAAAAAUUUCAAUUUGCUUUCACGAAUUACUUGAUACUUCCAUAACAAAGGGUUAAUGUGAAUCUAUCAUUCAUUUUUAAAUUAUUGUUUUUUAAUUUUAGAUGCCAAAGAUAAAUUUUUGAAUUUAGACUAAUUUUUAUAACAAAUUUAUUUUAAUUGAGGUAAAUUUAAUUUUAUAAGGUAUUUGGCGCAGAAGAGGAAUAAUCCCCAAAAAAAAUCUGACAUAAUACUUACAACCUUUGCUUUUUACUUUUAUGCAUCAUGCUAUAUCAUCUUAUGUUACAUCAACUGUCUUCAUAUGAAUCUUAAAACAUGGUGUUGAUCUAUCAAAAUGUAAGAGUAACUCCCUCAACUAUUUCAUUUAAGAAGUAACAUUUUAUAUAUAUUUGCGUCAACUACGCUAACAUCAAAUUAUUUAUGCCAAGUUUGUAGCAGUAUCACAAACCAAAAAUUUAAUGGAGUUAUUCACUUAAAGAUUUGAAGAAGCAUCUAAAAAUUAAUUUUGAAAUACCUAUCUAUAUUGAAAAAGAGUUCACACUUUUUCAUCACUUCUAAAUGAAUGAAAGGUUGCACAGUCACAUAGCUCGAUACUUCCGUUUAGAUGAAAUGCUAAGAAUUACUUGCACAUAUAAAGUUGUGCUAUAAUGUAAUAAGGUUAACGUUCAUAUCCUCUUUUAGAUUCAUUAUUUUAGUCAUCAUAUCUUUGGUGCUUUUCCUACACCAAUAAGAAAGUUGCAAUAUUUUACUUUCAUGCUUCAUUUCAAGUGGGAGAAAUACAUUAUAAACAUAUAGCUUCAUUCAAUAGUUAUGUAUGAUUAGGUUGCUGCUCAGUUCUUCUUUUUAAGCAAUGGCUCAAGCCUAGCCUAAAUGAGGGUUAAUAAUUAAUUUUGAAAUUGUUAUGCAUGCUUAAUCGGAGAUUAUGAUUUUGCUCAAGCAAAUGUAUUGUGAAUAUGUGUUUAGUGGUAAAGAUAAAGAUUGAUGAUGUGAAUUGAUUACUAUAAUAGUAUGUCUGUGAUGGAACUUUUUGCAUUGACAUUAAAAAUUUUGAAUAAUCAAUUUGAACUAUGUUCCUGUAUUACUAAUGAUAAAUUACGAACCCAAGCUUUUCAAUUCUACCUAUAUUACUAAUGAUAAUAUCUAAAGUUUUGAACCUUACUUUUAGAUAUUAUCAAUUAUUUAUCAUAAAUAUGAUUGAUCCUAUUUGAUUCUGAAGGAAAUUUUGACUUAUAACGAUAUGCAGAGGAAAAAAGUUUAAUAUAGUUGUCAUCACGAGGGACCGAAUCAUAAAAAUACUGUAGCUUUUAAACAUGAGCUAUGUACAACGAUGUUUACUUUUUAGACAAAUUAUUAAUAAAUUUGAAAUUUUACUAAAUCAUGGCUAAUAUGAUCAUGACAUAUACUCUAAUGAACUAUUUUUCCUUUAAACUAGCUCACCCGUCAUAGGUGGCUUGAUUUCCAAUGCAAUUUAAGUUAAUUGAUUAGUUGGCACCUAAAUUGAAAGACAUGAAUGUGUGUGAUUUCAGCUUCUUCGAUUAGUGUCCUUGAGAAAAAUAGUUAGUACCUCUUGAAUACAAGAUACUUAAAAAAAAAAAAAAAUAUUUAGAAAUAUUCAAAGGUUGACACCUAAUAGGUUAUUGUGUGUGUCACUACAUUAUUCUGUGGUGGAACUAAACAAAAUAAAGAAAAAUGAAGAAUUAUUGGAUGAAAAAAUAAUAUUUAAAUCUUUGUUAAGAUAUUUAUUAUUUAAGGUAUGUCGAAAUUUAAUUAAAUUUUAAUAAAAAAUAGUUGUCCAGUAGUGUUUUAUGGCGAUUGAAGAAAUUUCAACAUUAUGAAUAACUAGAUGUGGCUUCUAAGAUAGUCUUUGAUGAUAAAAUUUUAUUCACACAUUGUGAUAAAGUAAUAUAAAUCAAGAAAAGAAUGUGUAAUUAGUUAUUUAUAUUAAGUGCCAUGAAUCUUUCUAUUCAACAAAAUUUAGAUGAACUUUCUCUCUUCUAGGUGAGAAUUAUAUGGAUCAAUAAAUUUUAAAUAUUAUUGGAUAUAAUACAAAAUCUUACUGCAUUUAAGAUGGAGGAAUCAGUUAUUUUCAUAUUGGUCUCCUAAUAAAUGAGUUAUGGAUAAUCUGAUUUAAAUUUUACAACUGAUAAAAUAAUAAAAUGUUAAAAAAAAAUUAAGAACUCUCUGUGCAUCGCACGGGGUUGAAUACUAGUAAAAGUAAAUAGAAAUAAAUGAAUAGCAGCUUCUUGUGAGUUCAUCAAGUGAUGCUGAAUUUGAAGUGCUUCAUAAUGUGAAAUCUUGAUCAGUAUUAUGCUACAUGAUGCAGAUUUCUAGGACUUUUCAACUUUAAAGUUAAUUCAGAGAUAGCAAUUGAUUCGAAGAACGUUUGAUGUUUUAGUGUGAAGAAUCAAGUUUGCUCUAGGAGUCCUAAAUUUAUAUUCUUUUUUCAAGUUAAAGUUUUUUUUUUGGUUAUAGAUAGAAGUUUUGGUGAAAAGUAAUAUUCCUAAACAAAUGAAAAGUUUUAUGUGAAGGUUUUCUAAACUAGUAAGUCGUUUUUGCUUUAAUUAUGGUGAAAUUAUAAUAGUGUUUUAUUUUAAAUAUUAAGGGAAAAAAUAGAUGUUUUGAAAUCAAUUCUACUAUCGAGCAAAUAAAUACCGUUAUACAAUGUUGGACAAUGUAAAAUUUUCCUAAACUUAGGUCGGGUGAGUUCAAGGCUUUAAAUUUAUGCCAACGAAUUAAGUCAUAAAUAAGUGGGUGACCCCAGAAAUUGCAUUAAAUAAUUAGCAUUGGCAAAAAAUAAAAACCGUCAUAUUUGAGCGUAAAAUUAAGACACCAAAAUAAGGGCAAUUUGUGCAAAAAUUUCAUUUUUUAUCGAGAAGUUUGCACAUCAGUACUAAAUUUAUUGAUUAUCAUAUAAAACUUACUUUAUUAUUAAAAAGGUUUGUGGUGGAUUGUUAAAUACUCCUUUAUUCUUAAUUAGAGGUCUUAGAUUCGAGUCCGCUGCUAGCUGCUCUCAAGUAUCCGUAAUCUUAACAUGGAUAAUUACAUAAGUAUUUAAUGGAAAAUUACGCAAUAAAAAUAAAGGAAUGCAAUUAUAAAUAUUUAGUGGAAUAACUUGUAAUUUAUCAUGGUUAAAAUAAUCAAAUUGAUAUUUUUGUUAUAAAACUAGAAAUAACAAGGAGUGUAGAGAGAAUAGAGAGAGUAAUUCUUAUUUAUUCUCUAGAGGGAUAUCUUGAGGUGUUUUACAAUGAAGGAAACCCUUCUAUUUAUAGAAGAAAUUUACUCCUAGUCUGAGUAGAAGACAGAUGCUUCAACUCCUAAUAGAUAUGAAAGUAGAUCUUGAUAGACAUUCACUAUAAUGUAAAUACAUUUAUAACACUCCCCCUUGAAUGUCUAAUUAGUAGAUAAUGGACCUCGUUAAAACCUUACUAGAAAAAAUCAGUAGGAAAAAAAAUCUAGUGAGGGAAAAAGAGCACAUCUCUAACAAUAUGCAUUUCGGCUGUCUUAUUAAAAACCUUACAAGGAAAAUCCGGUGGGACAAAACCUUGAAAGGGAAAAGAGUACAACGCGUAUUAACUCCCCCUAAUAAGAACAUCUUUGAACCUUUGCAUCCCGAUAUUGUGCACCAUCUUCUUAAAAGUUGCAAUUGGAGAAGAUUUGGUGAAUAAAUCAGCCACAUUGUCAAUUGAACGAAUCUGUUGUACGUUAAUAUCACCAUUCUGUUUUUAGCUCACGUAUGUAGAAAAUUUUUUGAUGGAGUGUGCUUCAUUCUAUCUCUUUUUAUGAAUCCCCCCUUAAGAUGUGCUAUGCAUGCUACAUUAUCUUUGUAUAAAAUUUGUGGGUAUAUUGUCACAUUUCAAAUCAUAUUUUUCUCGAAAGAGAUGUAUCAUGGGCCUCAACCAUACACAUUCUCAGCUAGCUUCAUGAAUAAUUAUUAUCCCAACAUGGUUCGAUGCAGUGGCUAGAUAGACUGUCUUGCAUAUCUCUAAAAUAUGACAGUAUCCCCACAUGUGAACACAUUACAUGUUUGAGAUCGAGAUUUAUGUGGGUUAAAUAAGUACCCAACACUAGCAUGACCAAUAAGAUCAGGGUUGCAAUCUUUAGAAUAAAAUAAGCUCAUGUUUUUUAUCCCAUUUCGAUGUCUCCUAGUAGGAGUAGGAAUAUACCUUGCUAACAAAUUGACUGAAAAAGCUAUAUCAGGCCUUGUAGUAUUUGUAAGAUACAUUAGUACACCAAUUGGACUAUGAUAUGGUACUUCAGAACCAAUCCAAUUCGGUACGUUUAUCAUUUUAGCAAAUAAUCUUAUUGCUUUUGAAAACUCUCCAAGAGUUCCAAUGAUUUUCAAACCAUCAAUUUAUCUCUUAUAAGGAUUAUAAAAAGUUUUCUAGAAACUUUAUAUGCUUCAGGCAUUUUGAAUUUUUUAGGGAUUUUCAUAUAUAUAUUAUUGUCCAGUGACAAUAUUCAACAUGUCAAGUGUGACAUCUUCAAGUGUCAGGACUGCAAAUCAAAUAAGUUUUACGCUUAUCAAAAUGCAUCAUUUCAUGUCACUUGAUAAAUGUUUCUAUGUCAGCAUGCUUAAAUAAACGUAGAAUUCAGAUCUCGUAAUCUUUCACAAUAUUGCGUCAAUAUUGUGUCAAAGAUAUUGAUGAUAUAUCAAUUCGUAUCGGUUCACAGUGUGGCAUAACAUUUUGAGAUCUUAUCACUUCAUUAUUUUCAGGUACCUGAACCUCUCAUAAGGUUUUAUGAAGUGUUUUGUUGCAGGCUCUUUAAGAGCACAUUGCCUUCUUAUUCCUAUUAUUUGCUCCUUAUCAUUUUCAAGGAUUAUUUCAUUUGGAACCAAUUAGUCUACCACGCUUCACGCAUGCAUAGACUUUAUCCUUUAGGAACAUAAAAUAGAAGCAUUUGCAGCUUAAUAUGAGAUGCUUUUGGCAUUUGACUUGAAUUAUCUUUUGAAUGAGGAUCCUAUGAUAAUUUCUAACAUAUUUCAUAACUACUUAUAAUCUCCCCCUUAUGUUAGGAAAGUUAACAUACAUGCUCCAUCUUUUUUGAUGAAUCCAUCUUUGUGCAUUAUGGUAUAUUCAUUAAUCGUAUACCGCAUAUCAAAACUAUUAGAUGGAAUAGUUGGUUCAUAACCUUGAACCAAUUGAGGAGGAAGAAAUAAUCAUAAUUUAUUAGUCUAAUGCAUACAAGUGUUAUUGUAUGCAACAUACAUAUUUCAGACCAACACAUGAAGCUUUGUUCUCAUUAGCGAUGAUUUAGCUAUUUAUCGAAGGCAUCCAAUGCCAAACCAUCAUCAUCAAGAUAACUUUCUUGAUUGCACAAUUUAAAAAUUAUGUUCUUAAUUCACUUUUAUUGAGCAAACAACUUUAUGAAUUUCAAACUGCAGGUUGACAAUUAAUGUACAUGUGAUUAUCUUAUUGAUGCAUCUUUUCAACAUAUCACAUGAUAGGUGAACGGGACCUUUUUCACCUUUUAUACUUUUCAGAGUUUAAGGGAUCAAAUCCCAACAUUAGUUGGUCCAACUAACUUAUCACGAGAACAAGCGACAUAAAUAAUUCUCGAAGAAUCUUCUAGUUUUUCAAUACAUGUCUAAUACUCAAUAAGCACAUCUUCGAGAUGUCACAAUCGUUCAUAUCAAUUUAUGAACUUUUAUUUUAGUAAACUUCAAGUUUACCAUGACAUGUACUUUUUUCUUUAGUAAAUUUCAGAUUUACUAUUACAUGAAUAAAUUCAGAUUUACUACUUUAGAAGUAGAUUUCAAAAUAACUUUUCUCAAUUAUUUUGCCUCAUUGGGAGGUGAGUUGUGAUACCAUCACAAUCAAGUGCACAUUUGCAUUAAUAAGCUUCUCAUUACCCAAGAAUGGACUAUAAUCAUGCCUUAAGCCUAUCAAAUUAUGAUAGCUUAUAACCUCUUUCAUAAUAUCACAACUUCAGGAGCACAUUGAGGCAUACAUAUCUUUCAACACUGGAGGUCGGAUUCAGUGGUUUCCCAGCAUUCUCCGGUCACUGUUGUAGCGUCGCCGGAGCUCCGACGAGCUUAACAGUGGCGGCGCUGCUCUCCUCCGCCCUGAAUCAUCUCUCGUUCGAUCUCUCUCCUCCCUCUUUCGCGAUCUCUUUCAAGCCUCUCUCGCUCUCUACUGUGUGUGAAUGUGCUUCAAUGGAAAAGAAAAAAAAUGAAAAAAAGUGGAGUUAUCGGUGUCGUGUGUUUUAAACCCAGAAGAAGAAAAAUCAAUCGUCUAUCGAGUUGCGAACCAAAAUAUGCCAUGGAACUGAAAAAAAUAUCAAAAUAUAACAUGUUUUUAAAGUGCGAUCAAAAUAUGCUAGACUUAUAUGCAUUAUUUUUAAUGGAAGUAAUCAAACGAAGUCAAUUUUAAAAAAAUGUGCAUAACUCUCUUUUUAUUUUUGUAUUUUUAACUCACUCAAAAAGCGAAUUAUAUAAUAAUAGUUUAACUUACUUUUUUCCUCUAUAUAAAUAUAAUAAAAAUUAUAUAACUCACUUUAUAAAAACUUACAUAUUAUGUGAACAAUUAAUUUAUCUUUUAAAGUUUUAUUUUUUUAGAAAAAAAGUCAACUAUUAUGAAAAGGAGAGAGUAAAACUCACUGAUUAUAUGAGUAAUGUAGAAAUAAAAUGUAUAACUCACUAUUUAAGCGAUUUAUCCAUUAUAUGAAUAUAACUAUACAAAUAUAUUCCUCCGUUUUGAAAUAAAUGAAUUGUUGGGGUAUUUAUUGGUGUUUCAAAAUAAGUGAAUCAUUGAAUUUUUUUUAAAAUUUACCCUUAUGAUUUGACAACCAAUUAACUUUUGAAAAAGUAUUACAAGGUCAGCGUUUUAUUUUAUUUUUAGGGUAAAAAUAAAAAAUUAUGUUAAAUUUAUGUCUUUAAUGUUUUUUUCUUAAUUUGUAUGCCAAAAUCCAACAAUUCAUUUAUUAUGAAACAGAGGAAGUAUGAGUUAUGUGCAAAUAACUUUUUUCACCAACAUUCAUAUUUCUCCUAUUUAAAUAGAAGUAUACAUUAUAAACUCUUCAUUCUUUAUUCACUUGCCUCCUCUUUUGAAAUUGCAUUUUUCUUCAUUGGAAAAAAGUCCCUGAUACAAAAGGAGGUGAGUGAAUAAAGAAUGAAGAGUCUAUAAUGUAUACUUCUGUUUAAAUAGGAGAAAUAUGAAUGUUGAUGGAAAAAAUUAUUUGCACAUAACUCAUAUAUUUGUAGAGUUAUAUUAAUAUAAUGGAUAACUCACUUAAAUAGUGAGUUGUGCAUUUUAUUUCUACAUGAUUCAUAUAAUCAGUGAGUUUUAUUCUAUCCGUUUCAUAAUAGUUGACCUUCUUUCUAAGAAAAUAAAACUUUAAAAGAUAAAUUAAUUGUUCACAUAAUAUGUAAGUUUUUAUAAAGUGAGUUAUAUAAUUUUUAUUAUAUUUAUGUGGAGGAAAAAAAUAAAUUAAACUUUUAUUAUAUAACUCACUUUUUUGAGCGAAUUAAAAAAUGUAAAAAUGUAUAACUUCCUUUUUAAGAGAAUUAUGUUAAAAAAAUGCAUAACUCUCUUAGAAAUAGAGUUAUGUUAAAAAAAUUAACUCCAUUUGAUUACUUCCACUAGAAAUAAUACAUAUGAGAGUUAAGUAUAUUUUGAUUACACUUUAAAAAUAUGAUAUAUAUUAAUAUUUUUUUUUAAUUCCAUGACAUAUUUUGGUCUAUCCGUAUAUGGAAUUGGAUGUUGUUGUAUGUGUUUUAUUUUUGUGAUGAAUGGAAAGAGAAGAUCCAAUCUUGUGAGUGGGCUCCUGGCCUUUUUUUCCAAGCCAAAAAUAAUCCCCUCUUUUAUAUUGUUAGGAUGGAAAUGGUCACUUUUGUUGUCAUCCAUCAAGGUGUAUGCUAAAUAUAUCCAAAAGAAAUCUUUCAAAGUGGGUCCCUCUCUUUUUUGUUCUUUUUCUGAGUUGAUUAAGAAAAUGAAUAUAAUGUGAGCGGGGUAGGGUGGGUAGAGGUAGGGUGUGGAGUGACGAGGUAGGAUAGGUGAGGUUGUUAGGAUAAGGGAUUCUUAGGUAUUAGGGAUUUAAUUGAAAUUUGUUAUUUUUGUAUUUUGAUAAGGAAUAUUAGAUGGGUGAGGGUUCGUGGUAAGAAGAGAUAAAAAUGAAAAAAUUAAAUUUCGAGAAGAAUAAAAUUAGGUGUUUGUAACUAUAAUGUGAAUACAUUUACAAUAAUUUUGAAUUAUUUCCAUAAUAGGGAACCUCAAUAAUUGCUCAUAUUAUACCAGAACUCGAAAUCCUAUUUACUAUGGGCUGAGAAAAAAACUAUCAUUGUGCAAAUUUCGGGUCAAAACAUUAACCCAAAUUGAUAAUUCGAUUAUCGGAUUGAUGGGUCAGUUUUUUUAAUUUUUGGAGCUCGAAUUUGUUAUUUUUGUUAGUGAAUUUUCAGGUUAGUUGGGUUUUUAAUCGGACAACCCAAUAAAUUGAUAAGGGCCCUGUAGUAUAUUAUAACUAGUAUAUAUACCCGCACAAUGCGCAGAUGAAAUGUUUGAUAUCGAAUGCCUCUUUCUCGUGGCAAAAUCAUAUUACCUUAAACAUUUAGCAAUAAUCUUAUAAAAAAAAUAGAUUUUUUAAGAAUAUUUUUCACACUUUAAAAAUAUAUAUUGAUAAUUAUCCUCUUUCCUGAUAAAUCAUAUUACCUUAAACAUUCAACAACAACCUUACAAAAAAAUUAGCUACCAUAUUAUAUCUCAAUUAUGCAAAAAAAAAAACUUACCCCCUAUCCUCACCUCCAUCUCUACCCCUUACCCCCCUCCCUUUCAUUCCUUCCCCAAUCUCUAAUAAAAUCUAUACGAAAAACAUUCAUAUAAUUGUAAAAAUAACUUUUAUGUUUUAUAUUUUUUUGAAAAUUUUAUUCAUAAUUUAAAGAUANNNNNNNNNNNNNNNNNNNNNNNNNNNNNNNNNNNNNNNNNNNNNNNNNNNNNNNNNNNNNNNNNNNNNNNNNNNNNNNNNNNNNNNNNNNNNNNNNNNNNNNNNNNNNNNNNNNNNNNNNNNNNNNNNNNNNNNNNNNNNNNNNNNNNNNNNNNNNNNNNNNNNNNNNNNNNNNNNNNNNNNNNNNNNNNNNNNNNNNNNNNNNNNNNNNNNNNNNNNNNNNNNNNNNNNNNNNNNNNNNNNNNNNNNNNNNNNNNNNNNNNNNNNNNNNNNNNNUAGACUCUUUUCCAUGAUAGAAAUUCUAUAUAAUAAAAAAUAACACAAAUUAUUAUAAAUAAUAAUAAAAUAAUUUAAAAUAAAAUUUUAAAUAAUAUACAUAUUGUGUAUAGAUUUAUUAAUGUAAGCAUAUUGCUAAUCACGAAUGUAGUAUAACCAAUAAAUGAAUUUGAUUGAAUCAUUCAAUAUUAAAGAAUACGUUGAAACGAAUUUAAAAAAUGAAAUGAGAAGUUUGAUUGAAAAUUUAGUUUAUACAGAUAGAGUUAAUUCAAAUUCAACUUUAUCUAGUACGGAGUUUGUUUUCAAUUCAAAAGCUAAAAGAAUCCUAACUUUCAUUUGAAAUUCAAAAUUUAAAAAUUUAAGAGUAAUUCAACAAACCAAUUUUCAGCAAAUUUAUCUUUAUCCAAAGACUACUACUUUAAAUAAUUUAUAUCUCUAAAAAUAAUAUUUCUUCUUUUAUAGUUUCAAUUUUAAAAUAUAAAAAAUAUUUUUUUUAGCAAACUUUAUCUCAAUCUUUAAUCUAAUUAAAAUAAACUAUAUAUUUUUGUAUAUGCAAUUUUAGUUUUGAAAGUGAAUGAGAAAUAGGAUAUGGAUUCUAGUUUGGUCUGACUGAAAGAGUCAGUUAAGGACCAAAAGGUAGAGGUUUUCUCCCAAGGGGGAGAUGGUGUGCUGAGAUAUCAGGAUAGACUGUGUGUUCCUUAUGUUGAUAACUUGAGACAGAGGAUUAUGGCUGAGACGCAUGGUGCGUAAUAUUACAUUCAUCCCGACGCUACUACGAUGUACCACGAUUUGCGAAAAAUCUAUUGGUGGAGUGGUAUGAAGAAGAAUAUAGCAGAGUUUGUAGCAAAGUGUGCAACUUAUCAACAGGUUAAGGUAGAGCACCAAAGGCCUGGUAGUAAGCUGCAAGAGUUUAGUAUUCCUACUUGGAAGUGGGAGGAGGUAAAUAUGGACUUUGUGACUGGUUUACCUCGUUCGCGUCGUCAUCGUGACUCAAUUUGGAUUGUUGUAAACAGGUUGGCUAAGUCAACAUAUUUCUUGCGAGUGCAUACGUUUUAUACAGCUGAGGAUUAUGCUAAGUUGUAUAUAUGAGAGUUAGUCAGAUUACAUGGAGUUCCCUUGUCUAUCAUCUCAGAUAGGGGCACUUAGUUUACUUCCCAAUUUUGGAGAGCUUUUCAGAAGGGUUUUGGUACCCAAGUUCAUCUUAGCUCCGCCCUUCAUCCGCAGACAAAUGUUCAGGCUGAGAGGACCAUCCAAACUUUGGAAGAUAUGUUGAGGGCAUGUGCUCUUGAUUUCAAAGGUAGUUGGGAGGAGCACUCGCCAUUGAUGGAGUUUUCUUAUAACAACAGUUACCAUUCUAGCAUUCAUAUGGCCCCGUUUGAGGCUCUUUAUGGGAGGAGUUGUAGAUCAUCCAUAGGUUGAUUCGAAGUGGGUGAGGACGAUUUGCCUGCUGCAGUGUUUAAGACUAUGGAUAAAGUAAAGCUGAUUAGAGAAAGGUUGAAGAAAGCCCAGAGUCGUCAGAAAUCAUAUGCAAACGUAAGAAGAAGAGACCUUGAGUUUGAAGUUAAUGAUUUGGUGUACCUGAAAAUUUCACCCAUGAAAAGGGUGAAGAGAUUUGGCAAGAAAGGGAAAUUUAGUCCCCGUUAUGUUGGCCCUUAUAGAGUUCUGAGCAGUGUUGGGAAAGUAGCCUAUGAGAUUGAGUUGUCUGCAGAUUUGUCAGUUGUUCAUCCGGUAUUCCACGUAUCCAUGCUUAAGAAAUAUAUUGGUGACUACAUUGUUCUAGAUCCUUCAGAAAUCUUAGACAUUCAGGAUAGCCUGUCUUAUGAAGAGGUUCUGGUUGAGAUCCUAGAUUACCAGAUCCGUAGACUAAGGAACAAAGAAGUUUCCUUAGUCAAAGUUCUUUGGUAGAAUCAGUCAAUUGAGGGCGCUGUUUGGGAAGCAGAAGCUGACAUGCGAGCCAAGUACCCUCAUUUUUUCUCCGCAAAUUCAAAUCUAGUCGAAGGUACUACUCCUCCUUAAUUCAGCCCCUUUCUAAUCAAAGAUUCAGCUAUAUAGUUUUUCUUAUUAUAAGUUCAUGCACUCACAGAAGUACUCAAGAGUUUAGAAUGAUAUAGAGUCAGUUUAGCAAUUUAUUUCAGCUGUGCAUCCUCAGUUUUCUCUGUAUUCUUAUCCUAGCUAGUGAUAUUCGAGGAGGAAUGUUCCCAAGGGGGAGAUAUUGUAAGACCCCGUAAGUUUUUCUCGUUGUUUAAGUUCUUUAAAGCAUGAAAGAGAAGUCUCACACUUACAAAAUUUGGCUAAGUGUUGGGACUUAGUCAUUUUUCAAGCUUACAAACUUCGAGAAUUUUAUUUUUGACCUUCCCGACCUUCGUUUGUUGAUUUUUUUUUUGAUCAUGAUGAGGUAAGUCGAGGGUACGUCUUGGGUGAGUUUUAGAAUUUUUAGAUGAGCUUAAGGGCACGUUUGGGAUUGCAAAACAGUAAGGCGGGGCGAUUAUCCCGCGACGCCCUACUUAUCGCGUCACCUGGGGAGGGUAAGGCGAUAGGAAAGGUGGCGCCCUGCCUAACCUGGAGGGUUAUCUCCCGCGCCACCCUGCUUAGUCCGUCUGGACAAAACUCAGCUUUUCACCCUGACUCAUUAAGGGCAAAAUGGGUAUUUCCACCCCUUUUUCAGCCUUAACACAGGAUUAAACUCCCAAAAUACCAAAAUAUAGUUACUUUACUCAAAUUCUCUCAAAAACACAUCUUAGGGUUUCAACCCAAAGUUCAAGAGAACUUAAGAUUUCAUCGUCACUUUUCAAAAUUGAGUCAAGAAUUAGAAUCCCCAUACGAAGAGUCUCAAAAGCGAGUGUUCAUUCAAAGUUCCUAAUCUAAGGUAUGUGGGGUUUGAACAAGAAGAAUUCUUUCGUUCUUGUGCCCAAAGUUUUGAUUUUUACUAAAAAAAUUUAUGUUUCCAAGUGGAAUUGAUGCCUAAUUUAAUUUGUUUUAAGUUUAUGAGAUUAUAGAUUGUUCAAUUCUUGAAUUGUGUAUUUACCCUAUUUAUUAUCGCUUGAAUUAAGGUUUUGUCCCAUGAAUUGCAUGGUCCUAAUUGUUCAAUUCUUGAAUUGUGUAUUUACCCUAUUUAUUAUCGCUUGAAUUGAGGUUUUGCCCCAUGAAUUGCAAGUUCCUAACAUGAAUUGCUAUUUCCAAGUAUUUUUAAGAUAGUGUCAAGAAUUAAGUUCUAUUAUGAAACCGAGAUUAUUCAAGUCUACUUGUAUUUAAAUGCUUUAGAAUUCAAGAAUGAAUUUUUAGAUUUGGUAAAGUAUUUUGAUGCUACUAUUAUAAGCUUAAAGUUUAUUGUGAAUUGAUAUGAUUUACAAGUAUGGGUUGCAAGCCCUGAGUUUUAGUUUUGGUAUUCAAGAAAGAUGAUUUUAGCAAGAUUUGAUAUUUAAGUCCUAAGCAAAGAAAGGAGUCCACAUCAUUUUGAAUUAAGUCAAAGAGAAGCAUGUUAGCUUCCAUUAUACAUUUUUGUUUUGUUUAAGGUGGAUUUCCUAGAAAGUUCUGAGCCUAAGUAUGGGAGUAGUAUUUAGCACCGAGUUGGGUAUGAUUCCAAGGUUUCAUGCCCCAGAACUACGAGCCACCGUAGGGUUAUGACUCACCCCAAGUGGGUUAAGAUAGUGAUCACUAAAGUUAAGGUUCUAUUCCGAUGGUAAGGAUAGAAGAGCUCUCCCCAACGCGGGCAAGACAUUGGACUCCAUGAGAACUCUCACAUGGUUUAUGUCGAUUAGAAGAGGCUCCCGCUCCCAAAGGUCCUAAGGUCCAAAGUCCUUGAGUUCCCAAAGUUCAUUUAUCUAUAAGUUUUCGAAAAAAAGUCCCCUAUUCUCCUUAAGAUAAAAGUAUGUGUUUUGAAAGUUAUUGUCUUAAGAUUCUUUUUCUUAUAAGCUUGGAGAAUAAGAGGAGAAUAUAUAUUUUAGAACUAGGCGUAAUGACUCACGAAGUUUUACUAUAUGCUACAUGAUUUCAUGAUUUAUGAGAUUGAGAUUUCAGAUUUAUUCAAGCUGUGUGUGUCAUUUACAUUAGCAUGCAUUCUUUUAUAAACUGUGGCUAUAAAAUAUGUAUUAUUAUUACAUUGCACCCCCAUAUACUCAGUACAUUCUCAACGUGCUGAUCCACAUAUGUUUAUAUGCUACAUUGUCUCAUAAUGUAGGUUCAGGUGCUCAGUCUCAGCAGCGAUAGUAAUCUCCGAGUACCUUUAUCUACACUUCCGUAGUUGGUGAGUUCUCUUGGUUCGAGGACCUAUUUUCAGAUCUUCAAUCUUGGUAGCAGUUGUUUAUUACUUUUAGUCAGUCCGAGUCAGUUGGGGGUUUGUCCUAAUGACUCUCCAGUUCUUUAUUAGUAGAGGCUUGUCGGACUAUGAGUAGACUUUCAGACUAUCAGUUGCUUUCUUCAGAUUUCAGUAGUAAGUAUUCAGACGAUAUUUCUAGUUGUUUCAGUUUUGAUAUAACAAGAUUUAGCACUGCCUACUUUGAAGUAAGUUCUAUACUAGUAACAGGCUUAAAUGGUUAGCUUGGGGCUAUUCGUAGCCUUGAGCACCGUAUGACGCUUCAGGAUGCGAUUUUGAGGCGUUACAAUUAUACGUGAUCUUUUAUUUGGUCUCUGCUAGUUAGCCCGUUAUCUAUCAUUCCGGACUAUGGCUUGUCUUUCCUACUGGUGGGUUAAAGUAGGCGCCAUCACGACUUGAGAAAUUGGGUCGUGAAAAUGACACAACACUUAUGACUUGGCAGAAUCCUGAACCCUACCACGACCUCAUGUAUGAUGCAAUUACUUCUCCAAACCACAAUAACAUAUAUAGACAGAGAGAAGGCAAGGCAUCUGGUACCAUUGAACUUCAUACAAAAUUGAACCCGUGGCAGACUAAUAUAUGUGGGCUCAUUAAAAUUGCACAUCAGGAUAUUCACCGACAGGCAUCACGCAAAAUAUAUCCUUCGUUACCAGUCAUUCAACUCAUAUAUCUAUGUUUACCAGUCAUUCACCUUUUAGAUAACUCACAACUCAAGAGAAAUCCAUCCUGAAACUCAUCAUUUCUUGAUUUCAACUUGGGUAUGGUCCUCCAGUGAAUCAUGUUGGCUUCUUAACUUAAAGAAGAGAAGUACUAAAACCAUACUUUGAACAGUACAAAUCCAGAAGCCAUCUGAUCGUAGUCCAUUGUUCAUUGGAUAAGACUUCGAAAUAAUUGAACCCACCCCUCAAUUAAACUUGCAAUCCCAGAUUAAAUUACAAUUUCUAACUCAGCCUAUCUAAUGUUUAAAUUAUAUUUAAUGGACGACACGAAAAGAGAGGAUAAUAGUAAGCUGUUAAACAAAGAACAAGUUAAAGAAAGGGCCUUAUACGCACCGGUACAUGAGCCUUUCAAUAAAGUCCUCUUCCUUCAUUUUCAGAAGAGAAUGUCGUGUCUCUUCGCCCAGGGCAGUCCAGAAGUCUACCAGUGUGUCCACAGAAAGUCUGGUAGUAUGAAGAGCACAUGUUUCUGUCAUUAACUAAGCAAUACUAUACUUACUUCUUGAUAGAAGCAAUCACAGAUGAACACAUUAAGAAGAAGAAGAUGUAGAAGAAGGAGGUAAAGAGGAGAGAAAGAUCAUUAGGAAGAGAGAGUAGUUAAGUUGUAUUUCAUAAUGACUCAAUGUACAUGAGCCUCUACAUUUACAGACUUGUGAGUGAUUAAACUAACUAACUUGCCGUUAGUAGUUAGUGUAACUAACUGUCAAAGCAGUUAUAACAGAAAAAGGGAACAAGUCGCUGCAUUCUACUCUUCAGGGAUUUGGUAUUAACACUACUUGCUAUUAACAUUACUUGGAAAAUCAUACAGAAUGAAAGGAAAGAAAGCCAAAGGGAAGAGAGAAGCAAUGGAGGAGCUCGAGCAGAGCAUUCACAUAAUCAAAGCUCCUUCUGCACUCAACGAAGAGCCAUCACUUACGCUGCCUGCCAAGGUCCAGGUUCCACAAAAGCAGUCGGAGGAAAAUCGCAUGGAGGAAUGAUUGUUUUGCUUCCUACACUCUUAUGAUCUCAAACUAAAACACAAAUCAUUUCAUGCUUAUUUUUACGGAAUGUGUAAUGUUUUGCUUUCCCCAACUUCCCGAAUUUGUAUGGUUUGGCAACUCAAUCUCGUGAGUAUUGAAAUACUCUUAUUAGAAAUUUUGAACUUCCCAUAUGAGGAUUUGGAUUUGGAUGAGUAACUAGAGCCAGAUAAUAUGUCUUUCACGAGGUUCCUAGAUUGGAUUUUUUCUUGCCGAGGGUCUAACCGAAACAGUCUCUCUACCUCUGAGGUAGGGGUAUGGUCUGUGUGCAAGAUCCCUCUAUGUGGGAAUACACCGGGUAUGUUGUUGUUGUCUUCCUCCUGAGAGUAGAGAUUACAAAAGAAUAAACAUUACAGUAUUUAGUUGAAAGAUAAACAUUUGGGGGAAGGUAAAAGGAACCUACUUCAAGUGACGAACAUAAAUGAGUAUCUGAAUAUUACUAUUAAGUUAAGAUGGAAAGAGAGCAGUAUAGUUAAUCAGUCAUACAACCAGCUAGCGCCACAAGACAAACCUUAGAAUUGAUCCUCUGAUGUAUCCAUUCAUUCAGAUCAUCUACUAUCGUCUCACUUUCAUAACCGCGCGUGUUGAGAACCGGUAAGGACACUUUGAGUUUCAGUGUACUCACAGAACCCUGUUGGACAAACAUCUUCAUUUUAGGGCAUUUAUAAAUCUGCACUUCUAUGAGGAACGGAAAUUUAAGAGCAUGCUUAGUCAGAAUGAAAUGCCCCAGCUCUGGUAGAUUCUUGAGGUUCAGCUCGACCAACAGGGGAAAUAAGGGCUCAUUAGCCAUGAUUUCAUCUCCUUGUUUUUCCUCUUCUGUAAUUACUUCUUUCAUUGAUUGGCAGUCUUCUAUCCAUAGUUUUAGAAGAUUCAGAAGACCUCUGGCCACUGAUGGAGACAUCAAGUUUCUCAAUUCUCCACAACUACUCACCAUCAAUGCCUUAAGUUUGCUGAAGUAGGCAGUUGGAAGUUGGUGAGAGCAUUGAGCACUCAUGCUGUUUGCUGCAUGGAUAUAUCGCCCUUCCAGGUUGGGACAAGAAACCUGUAAACAUUGACAAGGUAUCAACUCCAUUUCUCAUGUCUUGCAAAUAAUUACUAAUAAAAUUCUUAUUUCUCGUGAGUCUUUUAAUGUUAUUUUAGUCUAGUAAGGUAAAUCAUUUUUAGACUAAAUCGUUAGACUAAAUUCUUAUUUCUGGUGUGUCUUCGUAAUUCUUGCAUGCGAGUAUUGUGAUCACCCAUGGCAGCAGGUCAGAGGAAACCUGUCUAUGAUACCAUGGUAGAUCAUGGGCGUUUUUAAAUUCAUUUAGUCAAGCCUAGGCAUAGUUCAGGACAAAAAUAAUAAUUCACGCUAAGUUUGUAAGUGUUUCCACCACUUCACUCGAACUAUUACUAUUACUAUUUGCUAGUUAACCCAGAAAGAGAGCAGCAGACCAGGGGUCCAUUAAUGCAUGACACAGAUAUAUAUAACAUUUAGUUAUAAAGAGGCACAAGACAAACCUUAGAAUUGAACAUCGCUUUGUUGAGAUCAACAACUUUCAGCACAUCGUCAUUGUUCACACUUCCAAGAUUCAGCGUACUCACAGUUCCCUGAUGGAUAAAUGUCUUCAUUUUAGGGCAAUUAAGAAUAUUCACUUCUAUGAGGAAUGGAAAUUCAAGAGCACCAUUCGUCAGAAUGAAAUGCCCCAGCUUUGGCAGAUUGCCAAGGUUCAGCUUUUCCAACCGGGGAAAUACGGUCUCAUUUGUCAUGAUUUCUUCUCCUUCUUGUUCUUUUUCUGUGAUCAUUUCUUCCAUUACUGGACAAUCUUUUAUCCUUAGUUCUCGGAUAUUCAGAAGACCUCUGGCCACUGAUGGAGACAUCAAGUUUCUCAAUUUUCCACACCUAUUCACUGUCAAUUCUUUAAGUUUGCUGAAGUAGGCAGUUGGAAGUUGGUGAGAGCAUAGAGCAGUUAUGUUGUUUGCUGCAUUGACGGAUAGCUUUUCCAGGCUGGGACAAGAAAUCUGCAAACGAUGAAGGAAUCAAGUAUCAGCUCCAUUUAGAUUUAGCAUUAAUUUGAACUAUAUUAUUUGGUAGUGUUUUAUUGUUGUGCAGAAAACUGGUAACUUCAUCAAUAUAGAAUUUGAUAUGGAAGUUGUAAAGAUAUGGCACCUGGGCCUAAGUCAGCCCAAAAGCUAGCUCAAGAGAGGAGGAUUGUCCAAAUCCAUUUGAACAGACCACCAGCCAUUCCCAACCAAUGUGGGACUCUAAUCCACUUUAACAGGCCUAACUAGAGCGUAGACCGUGAGCUCAAAAGGGGAUGGACCUGGUUCUUAUACCAUGUAAUAGACAAGGUAUGGAGAAUAGCUUGAUAUCUCAUUCGAAGAGGUAUGCAAUAUAAUACAUGUACAUGAGGUGCUAGUUAAGGAAAGAAAUACUCCGUCUCAUUUCAGUUGUCGGCUUUUCCUUUUACACACGUAUUAAGAGACCAUAAAUAAGAAGGUAGUUUAUUAAUUCAUCCCUUAAGAAAGUUUUUGGGACUUUACAAAUAAGUAUUCACGCUUUCAUAAAAGAAUUAAUCGCCCAAGUAAUAUGAAAAAAAAUUUAAUUAAUUCUCUUUUGACUUAGUAAGGUGGACGACUAAGAUGGGACAACUAGUUUUAGUAAGGUGGACAACAAAAAUGGGACACAGGGAGUAAAAGAGAUUCUUAUAAAUCUGCUAUCUAUAUAUGUUUACAUUCCUAUGAAACAGUCUACGUUCAUUCUGUAACACUUGCCAAGAAUUCAAACAGGACUUUGUGCAUACAUUUUUCUCCAACUUUUAACCAAGUAUAUUCCAAUUUCUCACAAAUGACUACUGAUGAUAUUUUAUAAUAAUGUCUCCAACAAAAUGGCACCAUAAAGAUAUGGAAAGAUAAAAUGAUCAGACAGUCCACUUCUUGACUACUUAUAACUGUCUACAUCAACACCCGAACAUUAAGAACGUGACUUCUUGAAAGCACAUAGAAAAAGUUUCAUCUCCAAGGAUGAAGCAAUAAGAAAGUAAUUCCAUACACUAUGAAUAUAUCUCUUUAACAUCUACCAUCUCAUCAGACUUUAUUGUAUUUUGUUGCAGAUACACUUGAAGCAUGUUCAUCUAUUGUGCUCAGUCAUAAGCCAACACAUAGGGAGGAAAAAGGAAAAAAAAAAAAAACAAGUGAUAAGUUGAGAUGCCAAAAGUGCUUAUUUAGCAAGUUGAGGUGUUUAGUGUUUACUCAAGUAAAAGUAGUAUUUUAAAAAGCAUCUUCAAAAUAGCAUUCUUUAAGAUCUUCGAAAAUGAAAAAAGAAUCCAAGAUAAAAUGAGAAAAACAAAUUCCCAUAUUAGUUGUUAAAUGUGAUGAAAGAAGAAUUUAGAAAGAGAGAGAGAGAUUUAAAAUUUGAAAUUUAUAGGAAUCUUCAAUGACCUCAAACUAAUAUACAAUAAUAAUCGUGUUCAAAAUCAAGGAAUCUCUAGAUAUUACUAAUACAGAUAAAAAGUCAAUGGAAAAAGUUACUGAGUUCGCGUGAACCCUUGGAUUAUAAUAUUGUAGAUUCGCCUAUGUUUGUUACCUCCAUCAACAUAGGUAUCAGGUGACAAACAAAAAUAACUAUAUGAAGAUUACUAUUACUAUUACAAGCAAACAAACAAGAUGGUCAAGAAGAAAAUUGAGUUCAAGCUUGAGAGUUCUAAUGGAGGAAAUAAUAAUUCGGGCUAAGUUUGGAGGUGUUUCCACCAUUUCACUCUAACUAUUACUAUUACUAUUUGCUCGUUAAACCAGAAAGAGAGCAGUAGACCGGGGGUCUAUUAAUGCAUGACACAAAUAUAUAUAGCAUUUACUUAUAAAGCGGCACAAGACAAACCUUAGAAUUGAAUAUCGCUUUGUUGAGGUCAACAACUUUCAGCUCAUCAUCAUCGCUCACACUUUCAAGAUUCAGUGUACUCACAGUUCCCAUUUCAGGGCAUUUAAGAAUCAUCACUUCUAUGAGGAAUGGGAAUUCAAGAGCACCCUUCAUCAGAAUGAAAUGCCCCAGCUUUCGCAAAUUGUCAAGUUCCAGCUUUUCCAACGGGGGAAAUAAGGGCUCAUUACACACGAUUUCUCCUCCUCGUUGUUCCUCUUCUGUAAUCACUUCUUCCAUUGAUUGGCAGUCUUCUAUCAAUAGUGUUCGGAGAUUCAGAAGACCUCUGGCCACUGAUGGAGGCAUCAAGUUUCUCAAUAUUCCACAAUCCCGUACUUCCAAGGUUACAAGUUUGCUGAAGUAGGCAGUUGGAAGUUGGUGAUAGCAUAGAGCACUUAUGCUGUUUGCUGCACAGAUACAUAGCACUUCCAGGUUGGGACAAGAAACCUGCAAACAUUGACAAGGUAUCAACUCCAUUUCUGAUGUCCUGCAAAUAAUUACUAAUAAAAUUCUUAUUUCCAAUGUCUUUUAAUGUUAUUUUAUUACAGUAAGUUAAAUCAUUUUUAGACGAAAUCAUUAAAUAUCAAUAAAACGUAAAUAUAUGAAUAUACAAUAUAUAAAUUAGUUGAAAAAAAUCGAUAUUUUUAGAUUUGGUUUGAAUUCGAUAAAAAGUGAACCAAAACGUCCCAUGUAUACACAGUCUCUCUAACCGUGCAUUUAAAAUAGAGGCAUACUUUGUAAGAAAUUCCCAAUGGCUACUCUAUUAUAAUUCAAAAGAAUUUCAAAUUAUAAGUUAGAAAAUAUUCUAUUAAUUACAAUAAAAACACAAGAUAGAGAACUAGGUAUGUUAUUUACAUAAUUAAAAAAACAGACAUUGUUUAAGUAAAGAUCUUUAAUGCUCAAGUUAAAGCUAAAAUAUUAAUUCAUAAAGACCCUUCAAAUGAAAACUUUAUGUAGAUGCAAACCUUUUCAUUAAAAAGAGGAUUUGAGUCGGUGAUCGCAUUGUUGGCUCUAGGCCAGAAAUUUUGGAACUCUGGUAUUCUCUGGAAAUGCAUUUCCCGUAACAGAGAGAACUCAAUGCCCUCAACAGUGUCGCGGGAAAAGUGAGUGAAGCACUCGAGAGUAUCAAGUUCCAAGCGAUAUAAAUUGGGGAAAUUGAUUACGUCAGGUCUGAUAUGUGUCCUUCGAGAGAUCCCCUCUUCUUCAUCGAAUGGGAAAGCCAAGGACACACAAAAAAGAUGACGUAGAUGGUCACACCCACUUACCUCCAGCCUUUCGAGUUUGGUGAAUAGAAUGUUAUUCCGACAGUGGAUAUCCAAUGAAUCACAAUCAGCCAGCCUGAGAUCUUUCACGUUCUGCAACUCGACCACUACAUUCUUUGAGCCCUUUCCGCUUGAACUUACAAAUUCGCUAUUCCUCAACAGGAGGCAGAUCCAAUCACCCAAUGGGGUGCUCUCGGUGACCUCUAGAGCGAUAAUCUUGCUCUAAGUUUCCAUGAUCGAAUCCUCUAUGUUGACUCUACCCAAUGCAAGAGAGUACCGUGUCAACUUGGAGGAAAGGCCAAAGUUACUGUAAAUCAAAUCUAGGGAACAUUUAUGUAAUGUCAGUGCAGUCAAUCUCGAUAAGGAUUCCAGCUCCCUCAAGGUGGAGUAACCACAAUCUUCUACUCCCACCACAUGUAGUUCCUCCAAUCGAACUAGUCUUGAUAAGACCCCUGGUGAAAUCCUCGUAAGUUUUCCGAUAUUCCAAAAGUCUAACAUAAUCAGAUUGGCCAAGUUUCCUAUCUCCACUGGAAGCUCCUCCAAGUAACAAAGUCUGAUGCUGAGAAUUUCUAAAGUGACAAGUUCCCCAAUAAUGGACAUGUCACUAGGGCUUAAUUUAACCAGACACAGCGUCCUCACAUUUGACAACCUCUGAAUGGAUGAUGGAAAGGGCAGCAUGGUGUUUCCAAGAUAUCCUCCCCUCAGGCUUAUGACACUGAGUUCACGCAUUCCAUCAAAAAAAUCAUCCUGUAAUUUGAAUGGAUUCCCUACGAGUUUUAUCAUCAGAAGCUCCAGUCGCGGGCAGGAUAUUGGUCUGGGACGCUCAUCAAAUCUAUUUGCAGCAAUUGACAUGUGACUGUAUUGCUCGUAAGAGUCUCUUCUUGGAAACUCUCCUGACAACAUAUUAUGAUUUACCAUAAAUUUAUGCUUGCCCUCAGAUGCAAUAUGUAUGGCAACGUCACGAACCACAUCAUGCAUUUUGACAUAAUUUUUGCCUGAACCUUGGGAUAACAAGAAACAAUUUUUCAAUGUUUCUAACAGAUUAGACACCCUAUUUCUUGCAUGUUCUAAAUUUUCGGGUUCUGAAAAGAUGCAAAGCCCCAUUCCGUAUCUAAGUAAUUCUCCAGUUCAAAUAUCGCUAUCUUCCUGAAACAAGGAACAAAGCAAAAAGACAUCCUUGGCUUCAUCACUCUCUAAGUGAUUAUAGCUUGUCUUCAGAGGUUGAUACACCUCUGUAAGCACUCUUGGGAUACUUUUUGGUGCUGAUUUUUUUAAUUCAACAAGGGCAUCCUCCCACAGAGGCUUGGCUUUGCGCUUUAGCGCUCCUGCAACUGUAACAAUUGCAAGCGGCAGCCCCUUGCAUUCAUUGGCAACAUCUUUUGCUACUUCAGGAAGAGAGGGAUCGUCAGCUGAAUAACCUGCUUUCUGCGUAAAAAGGACCCAUGCUUCUUCAUCAGAUAAGAUUCCAACAUCUACAAUCUUUUGAGCCUCCAUAGCUUCACAAACACCUCGGAGGUGCGUCGUCAAUGCCACUUUGCACUGAUAGUUGCGGUUGCUAUCAGUGGGAAUUCCAAGUUUCUUUAGAUCAUGAAGACCCUCCCAAACAUCAUCCAAAAUUACAAGGACGCGGCUUCCCUUCUGCGUUAACCUUUCACGCAGCUGAUCUCGACGACUAUAGAAAUUUUCUCCUUGCAACAUCAGCCCGACUUCUUCCGCGAUCACUCCCUGAAUUCUUUUGAAAUCUGGUUGUUGACUGACAGUUAUCAUGACAACAUAAUCAAACAACCUUUCUUGUUUUGCCCUUGCUCUUACUUUCUCACCCAGUGUUGUUUUGCCAACACCACCCAUACCACAUAUCCCAAUAAUAGUAACCCCACAUCUCUCAAAGCUUCCAUAACCUCUUCCUCCUCCUGUUUUCUAGAGUCAAACUCCUCACCAAUGUGUACAACUUUAACUGCAAGUGGUGCUGGACAGGAGAAAGGAACAUAAUCUUUACCUUGAGAUUGAAGACCAAUCAUAGACUGUUCAAUUUUCUUAGCUUUCCUGCUCAGGGUGUAACGUGACUUCAAGUUGGGACACCAACCAUAGAGGCAACCUCUUUCAACCUCAACUCUAAGCCUUAGUAAAACCGCGACAUCAACAGUAGUUUGAUCAACACUAGUUAACCACGCCUCAACAUCUGGUGAAAUGACUUGUAGGUUUGUCCACUCAGCAGCCUUUCUUUGCUCUACCAAUACCCUCCAACUUGUCAGAUUCAUUUUCCAGAGACCUAAUGUUGCGCCUGUAGCAGAACACAUACCCAAUCUGUUGUCGAGCAGCUGGCACUAGCAAGUGUUCAGCGAUUGAGGUUAAAAUACCAAGUACGAUGUCCAUAGCCACUAACUCUUCACUGGCUAAUUCAUUAAGAUGGGAGGAAAAGGUGAAACAAAGGUAGGAGAAAGCGGGAAACUCUAUUUAGAAAGAAGCUCCACCCUAUUUAGAAACUCCCAAAAAAAUAAUAGUAAAUGUUUUAAUUAUUUAGUAUAGGAAUAAAGAAAAAAAAUGUUGUAAUAUAAUGCAUUGAUAUUAACAUAAUAUAUUAAUACUAUAAUAAAUACUAGUAUCUUUCAACUAUUUAGUAUAGGAGUAAAGAAAAAAAAAAUUGUUGCUUUUUCAACUAAACAAACUUAUCUAGGCAUUAUAGGUAUCUUUCAAAAAAUUGUCAUUAUUCAAAUAAGUGGUUAUAAUUAUUUGUUUAGUACCAAAUCAGUCAAGAUUUGAUUAUUUGAAUCUCUUAUGCUCAUUUUGUUUUAUUUAGAUUAACAAAUACUAUAAAUUACUACAUAAGAUAAAGAACAACCAAAUCAUAACAAACUCUAAGUUGAACCACCCUUGUGGUGUGAAAUGUGGCUCACUGAUCCGGGGUCGAAAACCCACCACAGCUAUCUGGGAUCAAUGUGCACAUUGGGUUUGAGUCGAGCCUGUCGCACCGGGCUUGCCUAGUGCGGUUAAAAACUCCCUGAUGUUACUUGCGUGCUGUGCACGGGGGUUUACAAAGUGCGCACAUUCGAAGGGUGUAGCGACUGCGGGUUUUCCUGGAUUUUAAAAAAAAAAAAAAAAAAAAGUUUUACCUAGUGCGCACAUUCGAAGGGUGUAGUGGCUUGCAGGCUGUGCACACCCGGUGCGCACAUUCGAAAAGUGUAGCGGCUGCGGGUUUUCCUAUUCACGGAGUAUGUAUAUUUGUUGUUGUUGUUAUAUGGAACUUUUCUUUGUUUGCUUUUGUUCUGAGCUAUGUUUGUUCGGAGUUGGACUCUUCAAAAAUAUUGACAGAUGCAUCUCGGAACCUCCAAAAGAAAGAGAUAUUAUUCAUAACUGGCAUAUUUCAAUGAUAAUACAGUUUCAGAAUCAGUUGUUUACAGUCUAAAUGCUGAUGGAUUUUGUUAACAAAUCAAUUGAAGUGAUAGAAUAUGGUAAGAGUACAACAUCCAUGUUUUCGCCAACUUUAUCGAGCAUCGUUUCAACUGGUAUAAUCUGCAUAAAUAUAAGAAUAAGCUUUCAAUGAAAGCAGUUACCAAAUCAGAGGAAAUGAUCAGAUAAAUGGUUGUUUGUACCUUUUUAGGAUAUGUGAAAGCAUUCUCAUCCAUCACGUUGCUAGAUGUUAAUAUAGUUUUUGUUGCCCCAGAGGGCUGCAACGAGUUCUCCAAUCCACUGAUAGAGAUAUUAAGUGUAACUGUGUUGUUCCCAAAGUUCACAACCUGCAAAAUGAGUCAACGAUAACAACAACAUCGCUCACUGUAAUCCCACAAGUGAGGUCCGACAUCUUUGACAAAGACAAACAAGUCAUGAUAUAACAGAUGGGAGGCUAAGUUAUGUAUCUGCAAAAUUAACAGCAGCAAGUAUUAACUCAGACUGAACAUCACAUAAUACCGAACAUUAUAACCUACAAAACAAAGAGCAAUCUGGUUUGUUGGUCCAUCUAGUUUGUUCAUUGAGUUCUAACUGAAGUAUGAAUCAAGAAAAUGUUAGUCUUGAAAGGUCCUAAUGAUAAACGUCAAGAAAAACUCCACCUUUAUUCUUAUGUAGUCGUUGUCAUCAGUCUCAUUUCGCCAUUUGAUGACAGAUGCUAUUAGUGAAUUCGAAAGAUUAUUAUCUUGGAGUGUUGAGUCUAUAAGAGUUGCACCAUUGGACUCUUUGAAGAAGUGCUGCAUCCAGUAACUAGGGGUUCCAUACACCUGUGAACUAGUGAAAACAAUCGCGUCUGGUGUCCACCUAUACGAACAAGAAUUAUUUUGCAGAGAUGAUUCAAUCUUGAAGAAAAAGAGAACGAGAGUAAGAGAAGAAAAAAAAAAAUCAAACAUACCUCCGGUUGUUGUUGUUAACAAAUAAGGGUGCAUAACUUGCCAUUUCAAUUACAUCACUGCACGAGGAUAAAUAACAGGUUAGCGUGUUGUAUAAGGCCCUUUAAAUGGAAAGCUCUCCCUACCAGGAAUUUUUUUCCCGAGAACUUUGGUUAAGGGGAGGGAUCCUAUCCCGUCACAACCCUUGGUGUUGAAAACAAUAUAUACUAUAGGGAGCGCUUGAACGUCCCACCCCAACCCUCUUACAAGUACCUGUUUUUUUCUACUCCGAUAAGGAAUCCAGCUUCAGCCAGUGCUGCUAACAGAUUACCAUUUCCAGCAUCGUCUUUAGUAGCAUACUCACUAAUAAAAGCCUGCAGAAAUAAACAUAAACAGUAUGAAGAACCAUUUAAAACAAACAGAAAUUAAUCAUCAAAGGGAACAUUUAACCCACCUUUGGUCCACUGCGCGGCGCACCAUUGAAACGGCUGGCAUUAGAGAACACAUCAUUUGCACUUGCAUAAAUCUAACCAUAGAGACAUCAACAAGUUAAAGCUCAAAUGUACAUGCCAUCGGUAAGAUAGACUUUUAACAACACCAAAAUAUUACAUGAAAAUCAUAUAAAUCAGCCGGGUGAUCCAAUAGUUUGGAAGAACCAUCACAGUUGGAGAUUAUCUUAAUAUCAGGGUAGGCUUCUUUGAUUGCUGAAUGGAACUUGAGGUAAUUUCCUGAAUGCAAUACAAGGAUUUCAGGUCUUGACUAGAUCCUCAAAAUUCAUCGGAGUCUAUGAACCCCAUGCAACUAUAGAACAUAGAACAAAUUAUGUGAUCUGCCAAAUACAAUGAGGUUUGCAUACCCUUGUACUGUGGGAAUUUCUUUUCACAAUCCUCAUUUCCAACAGCGACGUAUCUCAAAUCAAAGGACUCUGGAUGUCCCAUUUCAGCUCGAACCGAACCCCAUGUUGAGUUAGAAGCACCCCUCGCAAAUUCAAGACCUUCUAAGACAUCCUGGACAACAACAAAAUACGCUUAUAGAACCUUAGAACAGUGCUUAAUAUGCAACAACUGCAGUUAAAGUUGCUUUCUUAAUAUAUGUAUAUCUAGAAAAUUUACCGUCAAAUUGGUUUUCAUAGAAUACAUAAGCUUUUAAGCUCUCAAUCACAUUUGACAAGUAAUGUAGAUGUCAUGUGUAAGCAGUGAAAGUUCAGGAAACCUACUUGCACGAAAGGUGAGAUAUUGGAAGUGUUAACUUGUUCUUUGUGGCUGAUUCCUGAAAAUAAUCGACAUGUAGAGAAAGAAAACACAGACCAAAAGAAAAUAAUAAUGCACCACAGAAAGUGGAGGAGAUAGAUACCGCUGUUGAAAACCCAGACUGGCAACGCACCCAAGUCCUCAGCAAGCUGCAGCAAGAAAGGACUCGAGUAAGGAACAUCCAUAAGCAUACCGUACUCAUGUUAAGCGAGAAUGUGUGUGCUUGGCCAAGUUUUUUACUUGUUGAGAGAGAGAAUUUUACUUGAAGAAACUCGAAAUGACCAAGUCCGUCAUCAGUCCAGUACCCCCACACAUCCCCGAAAUGGCCAGGCCUCUCUUCCCAUGGUCCAAUGGUUUCUUUCCACCAAAAUGCAUUACUUAACUUGGCCCCUUCCACGAAACAUCCCCCUACAUACAUGUUUAAUGAUAUAGUCAUCCGAAUUUGAGUAAGAUCAUCAGAUGCUCAAACGGAAGAAUCAUCCAUACAGAUAGAUAACGAGGAAGUUACAGAAGCACUCGAAAAAUUAAUUACUGAAAUUUCCUAUAUUAGCAAAUUCAUCUAACUUGGAACUCGAAAAAUUUGAAAAGGCCGAUGCUGUUUUCAGGAAUACCUGGAAAUCUGAGAAAUGCCGGUUUCAAAUCUUGUAGCAUUUCAAAAAGAUCUUUCCGGAAGCCAUGCCCCUACACAAAGAAAAAUGCCAAAAAUCAUACUUACGAAAUGAGUACAUCAACAGAACGCCCAUCCAAAAGUGAACAAAACAAGAAAGUAAAUGACUGGACACGACAAAGAAAGAACAGUUGAGCAAUAUUUCUACAGACAACAACAGCAACGGCAACAGACAAUUGCAAUAAUUUGUAAAUUUGUUCAGGUUAAGUUGACAACUACGCGGCCUUCUUGGUACCAAUAAGUUCAAAAAAUACAUACAUUGUAUGUGUCCAGAGGCAUCAAUGAUACUUGAUCAAACCACAUAACACCCUUUGUAGUUGAUCUCAGUUCCAGUCUUGAAUUGGGAUCCGUCCCUUCAGCUUCCAACGUAACCAUCACCUUUGUCCAAUUUGAUGCAUUAGCAACUCUUCGAGAACAAUAAAGAAUCAAGUGUAAGAAAGAAGCAAAAUUCAUAACAAACAUUGGCGAGAGAAGUAGGAAAACAUAGACAGCUGCAUAUAUAGCAUAUGAAACUUACAGUACAGGAGUUGUAGCCAGAUUCGUUAGUCCAUUUGAACCGGUUAAAGCUACUGAUAGAUUAACUGGUCCGUCUGAACGCAGAUAAAACACCAGUUGAUAACUCUUUCCUUGUUCAAUAUUCUGCAGGAAAGCAUAAAAAUAAGGACAACACGAAAACACAACAAACUCGUGAGUAUAUAGAACAUAAAACCGCUAGUCUAAACAAAACCACAUAAGUAUAAAAGGGAAAGUAGAAAUAGUAAAAUCUAACUCAGUGGAGAUCAACAUGAGAAUCGAAAAUACAUAGGAACACGUCUAGUGACCAUACUUAUGAUGAAUCUUUACGAGUGGAAUAUAGAGACCAUAAAGAACAUUAAGCCGAGAUUUUUAAAAAGUCGAUAAGAUACCAUGCCCCAGAAUCCUGGAUUGUAGACUCCAAUUCCUCCAUCAAGACAGACAUUGGCACCUGUGUUAUCACAAAGCACCUCUACACGCAGUGCAACUUUAUUCCGAUCAAAGCAUGAUGAAAGAUCCGUUGAUACAAUCACAGAAGAAUUGUUCCCAAUGAUUGCCCAAGGAGAUGGCACGGAUGAGUCUCCAAAUUCAAAAUCUGAAAGUGUUUUUUCAAGAAUACUAAGAUUAAAAUCCCAACCCAAGAGCAUUCAAGAUGCAAAGUGUAGGACCAUAACGCUAUUCUCUUCACAUUUUCCACCGAUUAGUAAGCAGUAUCUCCCAUUCAAAGCAUGUAUAUAUACUCUUUACAGGCUUUUCCUUUUCUAAAUCAACUAACAAAUUGAAGCUCACCUCUGUUGCUGACAAGUUCAGCCCACAGUCCACCAGCACCAGCAUGAUUGAUCUCCUGAAACAAAAAAACCAGGUGUUACUUAGCAUGUGGAAAUGCAUCCCAAUUUAUUUUCGCGAAAGUCCACAGAUAGGUUCUGACUUAUGCCUAUAAAACAAAAUAGGCAGGACUUCCAGUCAGAUAUUUGGAGCAAUAUGAAUGCUGUCACAACAUUAGGUAUUAAAUGCACUCAAAUGUCCAAUCUUAGAUCUACGGGAGUAGCUCGACGCAAUGCUGUCAGUAGAAUUGAAGCAUAUAAAUGAUUUAAACUCACCUCAAAGAAUAUUCCAAAUAGAGUAUCUGGUAUUUCCUUUGCUGAUCCUUCAGAUACAUUUACUAACAGUAGCGCUGUCUGGAUUUCGUCAAUCUCACUUGCAGAACUUUGGUAUUGGAUGGAUAUCCCGAACAGAAUUAGAACGACGAUGCAACAAAGGGAUCGGCUUGAAUCCAUAUCCUUCUCACACCGCGUCAAUGUUCCUGGAGCCUAGAUGCUAGCUAAUACAUAACAAGGCCGUUAACUUUUGCAACAACGUAAUGCCAUCAAGAUGAUUGUUCAAACAAAAAGAAGAAUAAGCGGUGGCCUGUCAGACUUUUCUGCUUGUUAUGAACAGUACUUAGUUAAUAUCAAUAAAUACAAGUGAAAGCAAAACAUAAAUACAGAUAAGGAAAUGGAAGAUUUGUUUUAAUGUGGACAGACAAGUAACAGCUAAUUUCACGAAUUUCCAUGGUAUUCAAGUUACUGGUCAAGCUUGGACAAACCAAAGCAUAAAUCCAAGAAUCCAGUGGCCACCCUAGUAAUCUGGACUAUAUCCAAGGAACUUGUACAAUAUUCAAGUAUCCUACUUAAAUCAUGGGUAGUGAACAGUGAUUCAUUUGACGAUGAAAAUAGAGAAUUCUUGGUUUAGUUCUUCACCUUAACGACAAAGAAUAGAAAAUAGGAUUGAUCGAAUCCUACAUAGGACAUACUAACUAGACAGGAUCAAGAAUUUGACUAGACACAAUUUGAUAAAACAACUACAUAGAUGUCAUGCUGAGUGAAAGAACAUCAAAAGUUUGCAAGAAAGCAACAAAUACUACAAGCACAAAGCAAUAUAUAUUAGUGGAGAAUAAUGAAGGAUGAGUUAUUAAUUAUACAGUAAUAUCACUCUUCUGCAUGCCUAAUUGUUGUGUACUCAUUCAAGAUUUUAGCUUGUCUAUAUAUAGAGAAAUUUGGUUGAAGGAUUUAAGUACGGUGAAGGGAGAAGAAAUAAUUCAAUUCUUGAAAUUCCCUUUUGCUUUCACAUAAACAUUUUUUAUUUUGAUUUGACACGGUGUUGUUAAAACUGAAUAUUGAAAAGGAUAGUAUUAAAUGACCAUAAUUGUGAAAAGACUUGUGAGUCUUUUCUUAAAUAAAUUCCCUCCAAAUUUUCUUAAUCAAUGCAAUAACUUUUUUCUAUUCCCCAAAUUCAUUAAACAACUAAAAUUGAUUUAUAUAAGAAUGAUUAAUGAAUUUAAGGUACAUUAUGCAUUAAGAAAAUAUUAUUUAAAUUAUAUUUAAAUAUAUAAUAUAAUAACCGGCUAUUAUUAUUAUUAUACAAGAAAUAGUAAUAAUUCAUAAUAUUAAUAGUUCCCAAAGUUACACAAUUAGCCGUUUAUAUAGUAUAAGCCGUUUAUUAUAAAUUGAUUUUCAAAUACUAAAUUUAUUAGGAUAAAAUUUAUAGUACAAAUGAAUCUAUUUUAGAAAUUUAUCGUAGUAUAAAAUUAUUAGGAUAAAUUUAUUUUUCUAUUUUUAACGUAGUAUCAAUAAAAUUUUAAAAAAUAUAAUUUAACUAUUUUUCUAUCCUGAUAUACUCAUUUUGUAGUAAAUUUUGCAAAAAUAAUAAAAUAAAUUGUGUGUGAUAAAUUGUAAAGAUGGAAUACUUUUAUGUGAUAAAAUAGCAAAAUAUUUUUGUAUAAUUAUUAAAAUUAUGUGAUUUUACGUAACAAAGAAAGGAUUGCAAGUAAUUUUUUGUGUAACAAAUUCAAUGUUGGAUGAUCAUCGAUAAAUUUUGACCACAAUAAACUUUAGUUUAAAUAUUUAAUUUUUUAAUUCUUUCAAUUUUUAGCUACAAUAAUAUACCCAAUGUAAUCCCAUAAUUUUCACUUACCUUAAUUAUUUUUAAAAAUUAUGAAAAUAAAAAUAAGAAUUGAUUACUCAUAUAUGUUAAAACAAAAAGAGUGAAACAUAAGUGUUGAUCGCACAAGUCUUUCGCCUUUAUGUUACGCCGAUAUGAUAAAUUGCGGAUAGUUACUUAUAUAUUAUCAAAUUAAUCUAUAAUUAAUUAUUUUUUAAUUAUUAUAUUUAAAUAAAAUUAAAUUGCAUAUUUAAAUAAUUUCUACCAUAAUUUGUAAAAUAUUUCAAUAACGACAACUCAAAUACUUUAGACAUUGUAAAUGUUGACAUAUUAUAGAANNNNNNNNNNNNNNNNNNNNNNNNNNNNNNNNNNNNNNNNNNNNNNNNNNNNNNNNNNNNNNNNNNNNNNNNNNNNNNNNNNNNNNNNNNNNNNNNNNNNNNNNNNNNNNNNNNNNNNNNNNNNNNNNNNNNNNNNNNNNNNNNNNNNNNNNNNNNNNNNNNNNNNNNNNNNNNNNNNNNNNNNNNNNNNNNNNNNNNNNNNNNNNNNNNNNNNNNNNNNNNNNNNNNNNNNNNNNNNNNNNNNNNNNNNNNNNNNNNNNNNNNNNNNNNNNNNNNNNNNNNNNNNNNNNNNNNNNNNNNNNNNNNNNNNNNNNNNNNNNNNNNNNNNNNNNNNNNNNNNNNNNNNNNNNNNNNNNNNNNNNNNNNNNNNNNNNNNNNNNNNNNNNNNNNNCGAUUUGAUAAAUUGUGAAUCAUUACUUAUAUUUGUUUCUAAAAUGACCUUUAAUUAUUUAUUUUUAAGUAUUAUAUUUAUAUAAAAUUAAAAUAUAUAUUUAAAUAAUUCUCAUUCAUAAUUUGUAAGAUAUUGCAAUAACGACAACUCACCACACUUUAGAUUUGGUAAACAUCGACACUUAUAGAAAUCAUGCAUAUAGUUCACAUACGUCGAAUCAAUAAGUGUUAUACAAUUCAUUCGCCUCUAUAUUACGCCGAUUUGAUAAAUCGUGAAUUAUUACUUAUAUUUGUUACUUAAAUGACCUCUAAUUAAUUAUUUUUAAAAUUAUUACGCUUAAAUAAAAUUAACGUAUAUAUUUAAAUAAUUUUCAAGCAUAAUUUAUAAAAUAUUACAGUAACAACAACUCGUCAUACUUUACAUCUGGUAAUCCAAUAAGUUGAACCAUUAAUCCAAUAAUCAAAUUAUCAUUAAAGAUUAUUGGUUUCGAUUUGAUUUUGAACAGUCGUAGCUAGAGUCAAGGGUGUUAUGUUCAAACUUAAAAAAUGCGAAUUAAAGUACUGGUUGUUUUUUACUAUCACAAAUAAAAUUCUUACUAUGAAAGAAUAAACAUUGACUAAGAUUACACUAAAAUAUUGAUAUCUCUACCUAAUUAUUUUUUUCUUAAUCUGAAAAGGUGUAAAAUCAUACCAAUUGAAAUUAGAGAUUUCUAGCUAAUAUAUUUUCCAGAAAUACACAUAUUAAAUAUGAAUAAUACUUAAACAAAUAUAUUUAUCUAAGAAAAAGGAUUAUGGAAAACGUAUUUGCCCAAUUAACAAUGAAUAUAAAUUAUGAAACAAACACUUUUCCAUAUUUGAAGUAAUAAUAAUUAAUCUCAUUAACAUAAUCAAUGUAUUGGAAAUAGGAUAAAAAAAUAUAUUCAACUUUCAAGAUAAAAGGAUAAAAAUGUCCAAUAUAAAACUAGUUUAUACUGUGAACAUGUGUGUUUUCUAUUGUGGUCAAAAAGACUUUUUUUAUUGAAAAAUCAAAUCCUCUCACCAAUAAAGCUAUAAAUAAAUUGAUAAACCAAUAAAGAUAUGUGACUCUUUACAUCAGAUUUAAUACUCCCUCCGUCUCAUUUUACCCGUUCCAAAUUUUCUAAUUUGGUGUCCCAUUUUACUUGUCCUUUUUUAUUUAUCAAGACAAGACAAUUUUUUUUUCCAUAUUUUACCUUUUGCAUUAAUUAUUUUUUCUUUAAAUUAAAAUGUAAACAUCAUUUAACAGGGGUACUAUGGUAAACUAGCCAUGUUAUUUAUUAUUUUUCUUAAUAGUUAUGUCAUCCCAAUUUGGGACGAGUAAAAUGGGACGGAGGGAGUAUGAUAAUUCUUUUUUCAAAAAAAAAAAAAAAAGCAUUAACAUGUUAUAUCUAAUUAAAUUCAAUGCAUGCUGUACAAUUUUUUUUAGACAUAGAUGUAUGUAACUUAAAUUUGCUAAAAUUAUAACUAGCCUAUUAAAAUUGAAGCAAGCUUUGUUGCUUUUUCAACUAAACAAACUUAUCUAACCAUUAUAUGUAUCUUUGAUUAUUCAAAUAAGUUGAGAUUAGUUAUAAUUAUUUGUUUAGUGCCAAAUCAGUCAAGAUUUGAUUGCUUGAAUCUUUUAUACUCAUUUUGUUUUAUUUAGAUCAAGAAACAUAAAUUAGUACUAGAUAAAGAAAAAACAAAACAUAACAAACUCAAGUGACUAAGUUGAAGAAAAACACUAAAAUUGCAAUCAAUGAAGCAAAUUAACACUCCACGUAUUCUAUUUAUUUUGAGAUUAUAAAAAAAAUCUUUUAGGCAAAUCAUCAUGAUUUAAUAACCACUAACCACUAUAUAAGUCUUUCACGAUAUAAAUUAACCACUAUCAUGAUUUUUAUCUUUAACGAUUUUUUUUAAACAAAUCAAACCUUCAAAACUUUCACAAUUAGGGAACAAGAGAGUUAACUUCCAACAAAGAUGUGCACAUUUUAUUUUAUUUUUUAAAUAAAGUUGAAAAUAGUUUUGAAAAUUGAAAUUGUGUUUGGAUAUGAAUAUAAAUUAGAGUUGUUUUCGAUAUUUGUGAAUGCUUUGGAGUGAGAGUUUUUCAAAUUUCGAAAAAUUGUAACACUUCCUUUGAAAAUUGAAAUUAUGUUUGGAUAUCCAUAAUCUAGCAGACACUAAUCUAUUAGAUUUCGAUCAAGAUUUUAGGAUGUCAAAAUUUAUUUAUUUAAUUUUUUUUUUUUUUAAAGGAGGGGUAUUUGUCCAAGUUUUUGAACGGAGGAUCUUCUGAAAACAACGUCUUUACAUGACGAGAUAGAAGUAAGGUCUGAGUUUACUCUAUCUUUCCCAUACUUCGUUUGUGAGAAUUCAGUGAGUAUGUUAUAUUUGUUGUUGCUAUAUAUCUUAUUUAAGGUAUUCCAUAAUGAAAUUGUUACACUUGUUUUUCUUCAACUUCUUUUUCAUAUUUGACAUUGCACAAACUUACUAUUAGUCAAAUGCAUGCAUGCAUGAAAUAUUUCCACGGAAAGAAUCCUUUGAGACAGCAAGAGUGUCAAUCAACUGGAUGUUAUUCUGUGCUAUAUGCAACUUUUCUUUGUUUGCUUUUGUUCUGAGCUAUGUUGUUCGGAGUUGGACUCUUCAAAAAUAUUGACAGAUGCAUUUCGAACCCUUACAUUGUAUAUAGCAGUAAACUUAAGUUGUAUUUUUGCUCUUUUGUAAAGUAUUCUAAUUCCACUCUUACCAUCAAGCCUAGGUGACCAAAAAGAUUGAAGAAUAACUGUCCUUUAAUCUGGAAAGGACUGAGUGGCUACUGUUUCGAAGAAGUUCCAUAACAAACGCGAUAAAAGUGCAACAGAGAAAGCGACUAAAAUGAACAAUGAAGACUAAAUGAAAGUGAUAUUAUUCAUAAUUCGCACUUUCAAUGAUAACAUAUUUUCAGAAUCAGUUGUUUACAGUCUUAACAAGUCAAUUGAAGUGAUAGAAUAAGGUAAGAGUACAACAUCCAUGUUUUCACAAACUUUAUCAAGCAUUGUCUU